CAGCAGUCCCUAUCACUAGCACAGAUAGCAUCCACAUUGCACUUUGGGUGCGUCAGAAGCUCUCAAUGGGUAACGUCGAGAGCAUUGUUGACCCAAGGAUGGGAGGAGAGUAUGAUGUCAACUCAGUCUGGAAAGUUGCAGAAUUGGCUCUGCAGUGCUUUGAGCGGCCAUCGCGGGAACGCCCAACAAUGACUCAUGUUGUGAUGGAGCUCAAGGAGACCUUAGAGCUGGAUGCCCUGCAUGGAAUGGGAUAUUACAGCUCAGAACCGAGCAGCACAGUCAAUCUCAGUGCAACUAGCGUUGACUUGCAGAGUGAUGCACAAGGAAGUGAAGCAAGACAGGAAACUAUGCUUGAGUUGGAACAGGUCGGCAAUAUAUCAGAAACUCAAAUAGGUCCUGCGCCACGAUGAGACCAAUCUUUUGAAUUGUAUGGUUAAGGUUCAGGAAUUCAAAGAAUAAGUCAGAUGCAUCAGGAUAUUGUAUUCAUCAUAUGUUAUUGAGUUGUUAAAUCAAGUGACUAAUUGCACAAAAUCUCCAUAUAUGGAUGUUGGAUGCUUACAAUAGAAAUGAAACAUGUUAAUUCUGGAAUGGAGUUUUUUCAUUAUCUAAAAAAAAUCAGUAGUGGAGCUAAAUCUGCAGAAAACUUUUUGCUGAUAGCUCCAAAAUUGAGGCAAACAGUUUAACGGAGAUAGGGAAGACAAUCAAGACUCAAAACAUCUCUCCUGAUUGCUAUGAUUCUUGGGUACACAAACAUAUUCUGAUGUGAACAAGUUUAAUUCGUGUUCUCUCCUGAUGGGUACACACACAUCUCUCCUAAAUGCUGCUAUUUCCAGUUACCAGAAGAUAUACAUGAAAUCCAUGCCACAAAUUGGAGAUCCCUUUAUACAAGAUUGAUAAGUAAACAGUACUAAUAAACAGAGGGUUCAUUAUCUAAUGACUUCGUUAUUCCACUAUUUCUAUAGCACAUACUAGUCUCAGAAGUUAUUUUUCAUCAUAGUUUCAGAAUUAACCUGUACACCGAGUGAACAGAAUCUGCUAUUUCAAAGAAGAUUAAUCAAUGAUAGCACUAUACAAGCAUAUUUCUAUACUAUUGGUCAGUUCUAAUAACCACAGAGUUGAACCAGGAUGCAAAGAAUGCAGAAUUUUUACAAAACUGAGUUGUUCCCAUCAGAGAGAGGUAUCAGAUUACCAUACAAGUCAGAAUUCUAGUCUCUGUACUUGUGCGUCAAAAAAGUUUCUAUAAUUAUAUGAUUGUUUGUACAGAACACGGAUUAAAUUGACAAAGUAUAUAACUGAAGUGAACACUAUACAGAGUAGUUCAACCAUGUUGGUUCCUGUUCACAUACUGCACCUUUAUUUUCUAAAUAAAGGUGAAUAACAGAAUAACUACUGCAGAAGGCAAUCAAGGCACUGCACCAUACCAUGCAGCAGAAAAAACACCAAAAUUAUCAAUAGCUAGCAUAUACCAAACAGCUGAUGAUACGUAUAGUACUAGCCAUUUUCACAGAUGAAGAUAUACCUAGCCAUUAACCAAAGCAUCUAAAACAAUAAGCCUCCACUGAGCCCAUAUAUAGUGAUGCAUAAAAGAUAACUCAAUUAUCAAAGCUGAGAUUCCUAAAAAAACAAUCAAAUUGAUAACGCGGGAAUGACAUGCCCAAAGGAUGAGUGUGCCAGAGGGAAAACGAUUCAACGCACCAGCGAAUCAUCUUGCUCGCAUCACAGCACCGUAUGACGCAACAGUUGGUAACUAGGAAGCUUUUUCCCCGCAUAUUUAAGCCGCGACGAGGUCCUGGAUAUCUCUGAGUUGGCUCAGAGCUCACCAGCGGAAGUGGAGAUGGAGGGCGGAGGCGGCACGAGAUCGAAGGGCCGCAACCGGGGAGACCGACCCCCAGCACCCACGGAACGGAAGUGCGGGGGUUGCCGGCGCCGCCGCGCCGGCGACGAGCCUGAACAAGUGGUCUGGCCGUUUGGGUCGGGCUGGGCAAGGCCGUGGGCAUUACCAUUUUUUACCGGCUUUUACUAGAGGCCUUGUUCAGUUUGCAAAAAUUUUGGAUUUUCGACACCGUAGCACUUUCGUUUUUAUUUGACAAACAUUGUUCAAUCACGGAGUAAUUAGGCUUAAAAGAUUCAUCUCGCGAUUUACAAAUGAACUGUGCAAUUAGUUUCUGUUUUAUGUAUAUUUAGUGCACCAUACAUGUGCCGCAAUAUUCGAUAUGAUGGGGAAUCUUGAAAAUUUUUAUAAACUAAACAAGGCCUAAACAAGGCCAGAGAUCACGUGGCCCGAAAGGCCCACGGCAUGAUCUUGGUAUGGAAUGCGAGAUCAUACGUGCUAUAGAAAGUGUUGAAGGUAGACGUUUAGCAUAUAUAAUUGUAGUAUAAGCAAAGAGUAAUUAAUUAGAGAUUAACUUUUUAUUUUUAUCUUUAUUAAAUAGUAGUGUGCUGCUAUCUAAACAACAAACUAUCAUAGCUCAAUUGGCUGCUUCGCGCGCUGGCACUGCUGCUCUUUGCUUUGCCGCUGGCCAGCACGCGGCGAGCGCGAUCACAGGCGAGUGAGCCAUCAGUGGACCACCAAGAACGACAGAGGAAGAUGAAGAUAAACUUUCACAAUUGCAUGGAGGGAUUAAGAAGGAGGCUACGCACAUGUGCUUAGCUUUGAAUGCGGGACAACGACCGAUGAAUGCAUGCAUACAUUAAUGCUGGGUCGAAGCUAAAGAGCCAGGGGCAAAUAAAUCCGAUUUUCAUCUCCAACACUCAGAACGUCAGCUAAUAUAAAAUUAACAUCAAGACCUAAAAGUUAACGUCUACCUUCAUGAUACGGAGGGAGUACUUGAUAUUUUUUUUGCGCACUUCAUUUUUUUUUGCUUUUUAAAUCACAAAUGAAUAAAUGUUUAGAAACGAGUCUUCUGACCAUGUAUGAUCUUUCGGAGCUGGCGUGGCCAUUUAAGGCCUUAUUUGUGUGUAGCAAUGUUUUUGCUUUGUAACGGCAUUUAUGUAGCAAUGUUUUUGCUUUGUACUUUUUAUCAACCUUUUUGUUACCCCACCUUUCACCAUUUUGCAUUUAUCUUCUUUUCUUUUUUCACUUAAUUCAUGUUUAGCUUGUAUGUUGUGUUCAUGGGCUGCGUACAAGCUAAACAUGAAUUUUUCACUUAAUUACCCCACCUUUUCACUUAAUUACCCCACCCGUUCGCAAAAAAAAAGUUGUUGAUACCCAGCUUUGGUCAACUUCUUGUGACCCCUAAAGCAAUAAAUGAAGUUACAUUCUUAAAAACUAGGGGAUCAAAUACCCAACUAUUUUGUGCUCAGCGAUUUUAGAAACUAGAGUCAAAAACUGGUUUUCAAAAUCUGAAACGGAUCCAUUUCCACUAGCCCCUAGCACUGGCGGUUCUAAUCAAUUUCCACUAGCUCCUAGCACUGGCGGUUCUAAUCCAUUUCCACUAGCCCCUAGCACUGGCGGUUCUAAAAAAUGUCUGUACAAAUAGGUUACGAACCGUCUGUACAGAGCUUCUAUGUACUAGUGAAGACAACUUCUUGUUUGGCUCUGGAAGCAAAAGAUGUUUGGAUAUACGGUAGCAGCUUUACCUGGACUUUAUCACUCACUUGGAAAUGCCUUUUAGAGCGGUGUUUAACAGCUUGAGAUUUCAUAUGCUAUUGCACCCUGAGGAGUUGUUGUUGAAGAAGGGCAGUAACAGUCUAGCGAUCCUUUAACCAAGACUCUAGAUCAACAACUUGAUAGUCUUGAUCAAGAUUAAUAGAAAAGUGCCUUGGAGCAUGACCAUACAUAAUUUUAAAAGGAGAAGACUUCAGGGAUGAGUGAAAGUUGGUGUUAUACCAAAAUUCUGCUAGAUGAAGCCAGUUAGACCACUGAGUAGGACAAGAAUGAACAAAACAUUUGAGAUAACCUUCCAAACACUAGUUAACCGGCUCAGUUUGGCCAUCACUUUGAGGAUGAUAGGCUGAGCUCAUACAUAGGUCCACUCCAGAAGGUCUAAAAAUUCUCCCCAUAGUUCACUAGUGAAAAUUAUACCUGUGAGUAACAAUUGCAUUAGGCAUGCCAUGUAGUUUGUAGACAUGUUCCAUGUAUAAUUUAGCAACUUUUAAUGCAGGAAAGAGGUGAGCCAACUUGGAAAAAUGUGAGUACUUGGAAAAGUUGUCUUCUACCACCAAAAUGCAAUUGUAAUAAGAGGGAGGGGGAAGACCACGCAUGUUAUCUAUUAAGUCGUCUUAAGAUUAUGUGGCACUAUAUAAGACCGACAGCGCCAAUAUACUUACUCUAAGAAAUAAACAUCAUAGCAUGCAGGGUAACGGACUUGCCAGGCAUAUACAAUGACUUUGUCAUAUGUGCAAGAGACAAGCCUAGCUUUGGCAAGACAAGUGGAUAUGGCCCAGACCAAACGAGGAGUGACAACCCUACUAGGAAUAUAUAAGUCCAUGUUGACUUCUCUAACUAUUGUGUUUGUCCUCAACUAGAAAACCAGAUUUCUAGCAGCCUUCUCCAACCUUUCGAACCAUCUGAUUUACAUCCAUGAGUGGUUUUGAAAGUAGUAAGCUGACGUGACAAUCGUGCUGACAACAUGUUUUGUGUAAAUGUAAAUGGAUAUACUAUGAAUGACAAAUGAACCAGAGAGAUUUCAUUGAUCUAUGAUGUAAAUAUUUAUACAUGCGUAAGGCCAGUCUCAAUGCAUGUUUCAUGAGAGUGUCAUGCACAUUAAAUAGGGUGCCACAUAAGCAAAAUUGCUGACUUGGCAGGGUUAUUAAAUGAAGGAAUUUCAUCAGAUGAGAGAGGAGUUUCAUCCCCAUGAAACUCAUCUGGCUCGGUUACCUAAUUUAUAGUCUUGGUAACGUGCCAUGAAACUAUGUAUUGAGACUGGCCUAAGAACGUCACAGGAACGUGCUUGUAGGCAAGUGUCCAUGACACCAGAUGGUUCGCACGAUAGUGGGGAAAGGAAAGCCUGAGCGGUUCCAUCACGGAGCAUUCCCAGAUGAGAGGCACGAGAGAGGGAUCGGAGAUAAGCCUGUCCGCUUAUCCGAUUUGUUCAGGUCGGGUAAUUCGGGUAAUAAAAAUUGUUAUCUGAUAUUAGUUCUGAAAAAACACUAUCCGUAAUUUCGGGUACCCGAUACUUCGUGUUCAGAUUCGGGUAUUCCCGAUUUACCGGAAUUUUCAGAAAAUAACACACUACACAAAAAUUCAAUAGCAAUUUAUAUAUAAUUUCAUCAACAAUUUGUAUAUAAUUUUAAUAGCAUUUUGUAGAGAAUAAUAUAUUACUAGCACUUGUUCAAACAAAGAGAAUUAUGUUCUAUUAAAUUGAUAAGUUCUAAUAUGUAACUAACAACACAUGAUAAAUACAAAGAUAUAGACAAAUAUUUAGGUAAUUCGGGUAGUUCGGGUACCGAGAGAUAUUACCCGAAUUACCCAAACUAACUUUGGUAAUCAAAAUCGCUAUCCGAAUUUAGGAUUGGGUACCUCGGGUUCGGAUAAUGGGUAUCGGGUAAAUUUGCGCAGACUUAAUCGGAGAUGCACACGGGUCACGGGGGAUUCGCUCACGUGGCACGGGUAGCGAGUGCUGCGGAUCGAAAAUAUGGCGAUCGAUAAUGACCGGAUAGAGACGACGCCACGACGGGGUCGCGAUUUUUCUUUUUUGGGGGGGGGGAGGGGGUUGGGGGGGGGGGUUGGCACGAGCUCGGUAAACCGGCCUUCACGGAGGUUAGACCGAGUCCGUAGGAGAUGCUAAUCAUCUCACUGUAAUUUAUUUAUCACUCGUUUAUUUAUCUCAAGAUUCAGAUCUCAUGCACGCAUGCGCUGGAGCCUCCAACUACAACGGCGGCAUGGACGAUUCAGCAGCCCCCCUUCACCCGGCAAAGCACCCCACCCCUCAUCGGCAGUGUCUGCGCUCUCUACAUCAUCGACAUCAUCUCCUCCGGUGACCUCCACCUGUGGAGCGGCGGCGGCGGCUGUGAUCGUAAAAUGGCGCGGUGGUAUCCACAUAUGGACGCCAAUGUCCAAGACCAGCAGCCACCGUCGUCGGUAGUCAGAACUCAGAUCCAGGCGCAUCGCAGGUGCCGCGCCGGCAGUCCACAAUCAGUUCGGUUCACAUCAAUGGAUCACCAGGUUUGAGAUCUCCGAUCCACAGCUGUGCAGUUCUAGUAGCUAGGUUAUCAUGUUUUCUCUUCUUUCCAUAUCCAAUCUCGAAUCAUAUACAUAUGCAUUCAAUUUUGGGCAGCGGUACACUCAUAUGCGUUCCUCACCAACAAGGCACCACCAAAACGUACGCCGGAUCUGUUGGGCACUAAUAGCAUGCAUUUCACCUAUAUAUAUCCAUUUUGGCAGAUUACAGCUUUUUCAUAGAUGAGUUGCAGUCACGUGUUAGAAUUUUAGUGCAAUGCUUUGACGUACGCAUUUGUAAUUUCAAUCUCCAUGCAACAUAUAGGUGGAUGAUCUAUCCCUCCCAGAUGACAAUCUUAAUUUUGCUAGACAAUUUGAGGCGUCCACCCUGCUGUACGUGUCUCCGCUCCAUCUAGUGGUAAAUGGUAUGUUCCUCUUCGUCCACGGUGAUAUGCUAGCGCAACUAAUUCUUUUUUCUCAUUCAUUCUAAUGCAUAUAUUCCUCUUCGUCCUAUCCGUCGAUCUGUGCUGCCCGUGUUGCUAGAAAUCUGAAUCUCAAUUUUAACAUGGUGAGAUUACUCACUUCUUUUCCCAUUUCGAUCCUACUAUAACUAGUAUUUUUCUUGAUUCUCUAUAUGCUUUUUGUCAGCGGAAGCCACCAAAGGCCGAACUAUGGAUCGAGAUGAUGUAGGAUGCACAGUAGAACUGCAGAAGGUGAGUUCAUGUUUUUCCUAUUAGAAGGUACUGUGUUCUGAUCCAUUUGAGUACCGCGUGUAAUACAAUUAUACAUUUUAUUCACCUUGUGUAGAAGCCGUGGCGGAACUAGCAAAAUGUUAGGGGGAGCUACGUGACAAAUAUGAGAACUAGCAAACAGAAUCAAUUGUUAAACGGGUCAUUAUUUCCUAUCUGAAUUAGCAUAAACAUACAAUGAUACAACCUGAAUUCAAAAUUUGCACAGAUCAUCAUUGCAGACAAUUGAAAAAACUAAAGAUCCUAUCAUGUAAAUUAUAUACUUUGCCUGUGCAUGUGUGCGUGUAGUGUAUGGCUCUCUUGCUUCUUGCACCUGCAACCUAGGUUGUGCUGUUGAACGCGGUUUUUAUGCCCUUAGAGCAUCUUCAACGGUACUACCUAUUUUCUAUUUUCGUAGCUAGCCAUUUUUAUACUACCUAUAUUUUGCUCCCAACUCCAGCAGUACUACCUAAAACAUAGCUCCUAAAUUCAUUCCAACAGUCCAUGACAUGUGGGACCCACGUGUCAUCCUCGCUAUUGAUGAACUCGGCCAUCAAUAGCUUCCCGCCAGGGGGGAGAGUUGUUGGAAUGAGGUUUGGCCGACGAGGAGAGUUGCUGGAGCGCCGCUAGAGUGCUGUGCCUGGUCGAGGGGCCGCACCAGCGAAUCCCUAGGCCCGCGGCACAUGGUAACCGUCGGGAGCGCCGCCUGGAAGAAAGCCCGAGAUCGAGACGGAGGGCUCGCGUCUGGGGGAGGGGCUCCAUGGCGGACGAAGCUCGCGGGGGAGGGAUGCCACUGGUGGGGAGGAGCGCCACUAGGGGCACCACUGCACCACGCGAGAGCCAGUGGGGAGCAGGGGAUUAGGGCAUCGAUGGGGAGCGGGGAGCCACGCCAGAAAGGAAGGCUCGCCCGCCGCCUGUCGUGCUAGGAAGGUACUCCACCAGGGGGGCAUCGCAAGGGGCAUCGCAUGCGCAGGCGAGUCGAAGACGCGAGCGCCGUUGAGCGAUUCUGAGCGUGGGGAGGAAAGAGACAAAGGGAAAAAUCGGUAGGCACUUUUGUUGGCCCAACAGAUCUAGUUGGGUCAACAAAUUUAGGUAGCCUAUUUGAGUGCAGUUUUUGACCUCUACUAUAGAUAGUCUGUUUAGGUAAUUUGCUGGAGAUGCUCUUAGGGACACAUGAUUGCACUCUCCCACCCAUUAAAUUCACAUUGAGAAGUGUCAUACCCAAUUUUAAGGAUGAAAUUGAAUGCAUAAACUCAUGUGUGCCCAGAAAACAAUCACACACAUAAGUUACAAAUUACAUAUCAUCAUUGCAAUGUUUACACAAACAUAGUCGUAACAUCACAUAGUCUAAUACAGCAGCAGAAACAAAUAUAGAUAACUCUCUCUAAGCCAACACACAGGGAAGACUGACUCGUGAAGCACAAUCCUAAAAGUCCUAAGGAUAGUCCAUCUGUUACUCAUUCGGGAUUUUUAUCCAAAAAAAAUAUAACAAGUGUGAGUACAUUUCGUACUCCACAAGCAUAACAUGGGGAUUCAUGAGGCUCAAAAGUUUAGACUCAGUUUACUGCAUUAUCAUUUUAGUAAGUCAACAUUUUAGCAUUAAUUAAUGUUAAGAUAUGCUUAGGCUCCUAAUAACCCAUAAGAUCAGUUGUCAGAACCAUAAAGAAUCUUUGUACCAACAUUAUAACAUCAUCAUUAAUCAUCACAUAUAACAUUCAUUAAAAGUAACCAGUUAUUUUAUGAGUUUUCCAAACUGCUCAUGACUGUGAACACGGCUGUUAUAACAAUUUUGCACUCUGCAGAGGUGAUGCACUUUCACCGAGAGUCGUGUUGCUCAUAUGCCCGAGGUCCGUCAACCCCUAAACACUUCCUAGUUGAGUGGGCAGAGUACACUAUGAAGCCUUCCAUAGGCCUAUUCUAACCAGUUAGGGCCGCGAGGUUUCCUCGAUAGGCAGAUGUAGAAAACUCUCCUUUUCUAUGGCACAAAUCCAUCACGACUAUACUCAUAAAAACAGGGGCAACACUACACCCAAAGUGGCAAGCGCCUCUUGCACCCUUUUGGGUAACCUCUAACGAGUUAGAAAAGAUCCUAUUACUGAGCCAAAGUCAGAGCCAUGUGACUCUCUUGGUUGCACUGUCAAUCCUAGCUUUUGCCGACAGAUCUAGGACAACAUGACUAGAAGUCAUUUGCACCAUAGCCCUAGGUUCCAUUUGUUGUCAUCAAGUUAUAUCAGUUAUACCAUGGUUCUGUAACUAAAGUAUAGAUCAUAUAUAAAGUUAGAGCGCUAGCAUUUCUACCCAUAUGCAAUUAAAACUCUUAGGAGUCAAGGUGUUAUGUCAUCAACAACUAGGAUGUCCUUAUAGUUGACCAAAUUAGACACAUGCAAUAUGAGAUGUUUAAAGUGAGUAGGACAUCAAGGUAAGCCCAUGCUAUACUUGCCUUGGUUCACAAAGUCUUGCUGGUCCUACUAAUCUUCGAAGAACUCUAGGUUCCCGUAGUACUCCUCACUGUCUGAACCCGAUCAACAUGUCACAACAACACGUAUUCCGAUGACAAAAAUGCAAGCAAACAUUCCUAAAGUUAGAACAGUACACCAGUAGUAAAUAAAUGUAAAUAUAAGGUUUACCAAAAACAUCUACAUAUUACUAUGAUCACGUCAACAUGAAUUUCACGAAAAACGGAGCUAAAACGCGAAAGUUACGUAUUAAACUAGCCCUCUAAAGUGACCUACAGACUUGUAAUUUUCUAGGGAAUCUAACAGUGUCAAACUUAUACAACAGUGGUACCAACGCGAAGCUUACAAAAUUACAAAACUAAUGCAAGUUGAAUGGAUCAAAUCGAAACUAAAACGAUGAUUUAAUAAGUGAAACAUUUUAGUGGCAAUUUUGUAAAUAUUGCAAAGAUUAAACAUUUAAAAUAAUUAAGAAAUUCCUAGAAAUUAGUUUGGCCAAGGAUUGUGGGCAUAAAACCAUAAGAACCCAGGGGCUCUUUAGCAAGAUGACCCACGAAAGGGGUAUCCGACGCCUAGAGCCAUUGGAUCAGAGAUGGGCGGCCAAGAUCAGAAGAAAGGGGGAAGAGGGAGGCUGGCCGGCCGAAGUUGGGAGGGGUGGCAACGGCGGCCAUUGCCGACGCGAUGGAGGUCGUCGGAGUUGCUCAUGCGGGUGCUACAGUGCAUGGUUUUCCAAGGCGAGUGCAUAGGGAGAGAGAGAGAGAGAGAGAGGAAGCAAUGUGAGUUCGCCUAGACCCUUUGCGCGGCCCAAGAGGGGCUCGUGCGGUCCGCGCUAUGGCCGGCGGCCAUGGUGCUCCUUAGCAUGCGUGGCUAGGGCUCUAGAGGACACCAUUUCGCACGAGAGAAGGUUGGGAAGAAUGAGGGAGCUACAAUGAUGAAUGCAUCAAUAUGUUUCUAACCUUCUAUUAAAUUUUAAUUUCCUAAAAUUUAUUAUUUUCCUAUAUUUCAAUGCUCACAAAAUUAAUUCAAUAAAUCAAAUUUAACUAUUUUGAGAAAAGACAUUUUUAUGGUGUUACAAUUCUACCCCUUCUAAAAAGAAUCUCAUCCUCAACAUUGGGUGAUGGCUUACUCAAACAGUUGCGGAUACGACAUUCUCAAAUCCUCUUCUCUUUUCUAGGUAGCUUCAUCCUCGUUAUAACGGUUCCACUGUGCUUUGCACAUCUUUAUAGUCUACUCCUCAUAACUCUUUCUGUAGUUUUCAAGAUCUUUAUCGAAUACUCUUCAUAUGUGAGAUUUUCCUUAACUGUCGGCUCUUCUAUAGGAAUUUGCUCUUCUGGCACCCACAACACUUUUUCAACUAGGAAACAUGAAACACAUCGUGCACACAUGACAAACUUUCUAGGAGUUCUAACUAAUAAGCCACUUCUCCACGUCUCAUGAGAAUUUUGAAAGGUCCAACAUACCUUGGUGCUAGCUUACCCUUCAUAUUAAAUCUCUUCACACUCCUCAUCGGUGACACUUUCAAAUACACAUAAUCACCCACUUUGAAGCUCAACUCUCUUCUCCAGGUGUUGGCAUAACUUUUUUGUCGAGACUGCCACUCUUAAGUUAUCCCUAAUCAUUCUCACUUGUUCCUCAACGUUGCUUAGGACAUCUGGUACAAACACUUGAGUCUCAUCGAUUUGAUUCCAGAAUAAAGGUGUUCUACACUUGCGCCCAUAUAAGGCUUCGAAUGGUGCCAUCUUGAGACUUUUUCUGGUGAUUGUUGUUAUAUGAAAACUCAGCAUACGACUGACUCUUAUCCCAACUAGUACCAUACUACAAAGCACAAGCUCUCAACAUGUCCUCCAAGAUCUAAUUGGUUCUUUCUGUUUAUUCAUCAGUUUGAGGAUGAUAAGUGGAACUAAAAUUCAGCUUGGUGCCCAAAGCUCAUGUACCUUGUGUCAAAAGUGUGAUGUAAACUAAGUACCUCGAUCAGAGACGAUCUUCUUUCGAACACCAUGUAGGCACACUAUACGUUCCAUGUACAACUCUGCUAACCUUGCUCCAUUGUAAGUAGUCUUGACUGGUAGAAAAUGUGCAACCUUAGUGAGUUGAUCUACUAUUUACCCAAAUCGAAUCAUAUCCACGUUGAGUAUGUGGAAAUCUGGUAAUAAAGUCCAUACCAACCUCUUCCUACUUCCACUCAGGUAUCUACAUGCAGGUCUCUGGCACUCAGCUUUUACCCUCUGACAAGUAUCACACAAAGCCACAUACUCUGCCACAUCUCUCUUCAACAUCAUACUACCAAUAUCUCUCCUUCAGAUCCAAAUACAUCUUGGUGCUUCUAGGGUGUGAUGAAUAGGCAGAGUCAUGUGCCUCAUGUAGAAUUGUGUCACGGAUAGUUUUCACUGUAGGUAAACAUAUCCUUUUCCUAAACCACAACAUACCAUUCUCCUCUAUCCUAAACCCUGGUGCUUUUCCAAGCACCACAUUCUCUGCUAUCUCCUUUAAUCUUCAUCCUCCAAUUGACCCUUAUGUAUUUUUUGCUCUAACAUAGGCUCUAUCUCCAAAACCAUUGCAUGAUUGACAAAGCCCAAGUUGAGGUGUUCUUUUCAGCAUGCAACUUGGCUGAAAUAAAUGUCAACUGCAGUCUGUUGGCAUAUCUCUUCCUACUUGUUAUAGAUAAAAUAUCUAGGUGAUCUCAUAUCCUCGGAUUCUCUCCCCAGAGAUCUAUCCUAACAGCUUGAGGACCGAGACUUCUUCCAUGACCCCAUACGUGCUCGUGAAGACCGGUUCCCCCUUUGAGGCUCCCCCCAUGACUCAUCAUGGGCAUCAUGAUUACUUGGGGGGAGAGUUUCCCCUUCCUUCUCGACUUGUAUAAAUACCGAUCGAUGGAAUAAAGAAAUACACACCGAGUUUAUUUACUUCCUCUCUGUUCACUCAUACUUUACAUUUCACUCGUAACACGUUAUCAGCACGACGCUCUUCCCUGCCCCAAGGGGAAUAGCUCGGUUGGUACGAACAUCGUUGAGGGACCGACCUUCACCCCGAGGUAAAACAUGUCGUUGCCUCGCCGUAAUUCCACCUUGAUGGCUUCUCUCAUCCUACAAAUCAUUUGGAUGGCGAUGAAUCAUGCUCGUACUUUGGGCAUACACUUCAGAAACAACCGCCUUCAGGCGGAACUACUGCAGGACAUCCGGAAACUCCUCGGAUAGCCUCGCGGCUAUCGCCUUCGGGGCGAACGCCAUGACCUUGAUAGGAAUCUCGGACGUUUCCUUUUCAGGACGUUGUUUUAGGGGACACCGACAUGCAAACGUUGUUCCUCUGUUUCGAUGUUCGGUGGUGUUGUCUGCGGCUCCGCCCGCGGCACCACCGUCGAGGCACCGACUCCACCGGCAGCUCCAACACCAGUCCUCGCCUUGCCGGCUCCACUCCGGCCAAGGUACCCGCUCCACGGUGACGGCCUGUGCCCACCACUGCCACAAUCCAUGGACGAGGAUGCUCCAACCAAGGAUGCUUCAACCAAGGUGGACAACCGUUUGAAGCACUUCAAUGAUCUGGCACUCCCAGGAUGUUCCAACCCCACCCAGUGGCACCGAGCAACACAAUGACGCCUCCUCCACCUGAUGGCAUGACAAAUGACCAGCAACAACAUGGUCAUUGAAUACACUUUUGAUGAUCUGUUCAACAACUUCAGCUAGAUUGAUAGUCAUUUGAGAUUUUACUUUCAUCAUUCGCUUUUGGGAUUGUAAUAAUUAACAAUUUGUUUUUGCUGCACACCUUUUGAUAUUCAUUGACUUAUGCACAAUUUAAUAUCAAUAUAUGUUUAUAUUCCAUAUAUAUUCAUGUUGAGAAUUUCAUUCUCUAUUAUAUUCUCUAUUUUUCAUAGAUUGUACGGGAGUCAAUCCGAUGGAUGAGGAAAUGUGCCUAGUGGACAGUGGCACCACUAACUCUAUGCUUAGGGAAAUAAAAUAUUUCCAAACUCUCACAAAGAGCAAAAGAAAUGUUUUAACAAUUGUUGGAUGCUAUGACGUAAUAGUUGGCUCUGGAUGAGCCACUAUUACGCUCCCUAUGGGUACAACGAUCACAAUCAGGAAUGCACUCCUAUAUCCCGAUUCAACUCGUAUCUUAUUGAGUUAUAGAGAUAUCCGCAAGAGUGGGUAUCAUAUCGAAUCCCAUCCUCCUCGUUACAAAGGAUAACAUAUAUGGUAGAGAUACUCUUAAAAGAAGUCCCUCAACUUCGUCUGGAUUGUACUAUUCAUACAUAAAACUCAUACAACAUGUUGCGUACAAAGUAAUUUUUUAGAAUGUCAAUGCAUUCCAAACUUGGCAUGAUUGCCUUGGUCACCCUAGCAUAGGGAUGAUGAGAAAAGUUACUAGCAAUUUUGUUGGUCACUCGAUAAUCAAUGCAAAAUUUCUCUAAUCCUCAUUUAUACUUGCACCGCAUGUGCAACUGGGAAAUUAAUUUUGAGGCCUUCUUCCCUCAAAAUAAAAGUUGAACCAUUCAACUUCCUUGAACGCAUUCAAGGGGACAUAUGUGGUCCGAUAAAUCCUUUAUCCGGAUCAUUCAGGUACUUCAUGGUUCUAAUAGAUGCGUCCACAUGAUGGUCCCAUGUGUCUCUUCUAUCGACACAGAACCAUGCCUUUGCUAAAACUAUUGUGCAAGUUAUCAAACUCAAAGUGCAACAUCCUGAACACCAAAUAAAAUCCAUUAGGAUGGAUAACGCUGAAUUUUCCUCUUGUGCCUUCAAUGACUAUUACAUGGCCUUAGAAAUACAAGUACAACAUUCCAUCUCAUAUGUCCACACAAAAUGGGUUAGCCGAGUCUCUCAUCAAGAGAAUCAAGCUCAUUGCUAGACCGCUAUUGCAGAAUUACAAUCUACCAACCUCAUGUUGGGGUCAUGUAGUCUUACAAACUGCUAAACUGAUCCAAUUGUGACCAACUGCAUACCAUGCAACGUCCCCAUUGCAACUAGUACAUGGAAAUCUCCCAAACAUUUCCCAUCUACGAAAGUUCGGUUGCGCUACAUACGUACCGAUCUCACCACCAAAGCGUACAACAAUGAACCCCCAUAGAAAACUAGGGAUCUAUGUGGGAUACAAAUCUCCGUCAAUUAUAAAGUAUCUGGAGUCCACCAUAAGGGACCUCUUUACGGCCUAGUAUGCUGAUUGUAUCUUCAAUGAAGAUCAUUUCCUGGCAUUAGGGGAGACUUAUCACAUCACAAACAAGGCUAGGAAAUCAACUUGGAUGCCCCAAACAUCUCCAACUCAGAUCCACGUACUUUAGAGUCUCAACUCCAAGUUCAGAAAAUCAUCAAUUUGCAACACAUUGCAAACAACAUGCCAGGUGCAUUUACUGAUUAUAAGGGUGUUACAAAAUCCUAUAAUCCAGCGAGAAAUUUACCGAAAAGAGUAGAGGUACCAAACAAAACUACUCAACUCACAAGUAAGAGGGGGAGAAGUACAGCUAUCUCCACGGAUGCAGCUUCUAGCAAGCAAAGGAAAUGAAAGUCCAAAUCUUCUAACCCAGUAAAUGCAACUGAACCUCAUGUUGAGGAACACCUAGUGGAGGUCCAACCUUCACAUCCCACAUUAACAGUGCACUCAAUUCCUCAUGCUGGGACAUCAGAAUACCCUAAUGCAACCAUCUUGGGAAAUGAUAAUGCAUCAGAAAGGGUCCAUGAAAUUUCCAUCAACUAUGCAGAAACUAGAGAGUCAUUUGAUAGAAAGAGCUAUAAUUGUCGACUCAUAUUUCUCCACAAUGAUUGUCGAAAUCCUUGAAAAUGAUCUAGAUCCAAAGACCAUGGUAGAGUGCAAAAUGCGCUCAGAGUGGAACCAAUGGAAGGUUGCAAUCCAAGAAGAAAUAUCCUCGCUCACAAAAAGACAGGUAUUCUCACAAGUAAUGCCUACACCUCUAAAAGUAUUCCCUAUGGGAUUCAAGUGGGUUUUCGUCUGAAAGCGGAACGAGAACAUUGAGGUGGUGAGAUACAAAGAUAGGCUUGUAGCACAAGGGUUCACACAGAGACCCGGCAUUGACUUCAAUGAAACAUACUCUCCAGCCAUGGGUGGAAUAAUAUUCUGAUACUUAAUCUCUGUGGCCGUACAAAAUCAUCUAUCUAUGCAGUUGAUGGACGUAGUGACUGCAUAUCUCUAUGGCUCACUCGAUUCAGACAUAUACAUGAAGGUUCCUAACGGAAUUCCAAUACUGAAUCAAAACGCAAACCGCAGCAUGUAUUGUGUAAAGCUACAGAAAUCACUCUAUGGCUUAAAGCAAUCAGUGAGUACCUUCUGCAGAAGGGCUACUCUAAUAGUGAUGAUUGCCCAUGUGUCUUCAUCAAGAAAUCCCAAAUGGGAUUAUGCAUCAUAUUGGUGUAUGUUGAUCAUCUAAUAUCAUCGGCCACAAACAAGAUAUUGAUGAGACAUGCAAACAUCUUAAGACAGAGUUCGAGUUGAAAGAUUUGGGUAAAACCAAAUUCUGCUUAGGCCUACAGCUUCAACAUCUUUCAACUAGAAUCUUUGUACAUCAAUCUAUAUAUGUCUAGAAAGUAUUGGAGAGAUUCAAUAUGGACAAAGCAUAUCCUUCCAAAACCCCUAUGGUCAUUCGGUCUUUAGGUCUAAACACUGAUUCAUUCAGACCACAAGAUGAGGGGGAGGAAAUCCUAGGACCUCAUGUCCCAUACCUUAGUGUCGCUGGAGCACUGAUGUACCUUGCCAAUAGCACCAGGCCUGACAUCGCUUUCGCAGUGAAUUUGCUAGCAAGGCAGAGUGCCACUCCUACCAAGAGACAUUGGACAAGAGUAAAACAAAUUCUCAGAUAUGUUAAUGGCACAAGGGAUCUCGAAUUGUUCUUCCAAAGAGGAACAUGUUCUCAGAUGAUAGGAUACACUGAUGCUGGAUAUCAAUCAGAUCCCCAUAAUGGCAGAUCACAAAUUGGUUUCGUAUUCUUACAAAAUAGAACCGCCAUAUCAUGGACAACAUCCAAGCAAAUCUUGGCAACAACAUCCAUGAAUCAUUCUAAAAUAGUCACACUAUACGAGGCAUCACAUGAAUGUGUUUGGCUUCGCAGAAUGAUCAACCACGUACAACAAUCGUGUGGUCUUAAAGCUGUCACAGCUCCAACCAUUAUCUAAGAAGAUAAUGCGGCUUGUGUUACACAGAUGGAGACAGGCUAUAUCAAGAGCAUAUCAACAAACACAUCGCUCCAAAGUUGUUCUAUCCUCAUGAAUUAUAACAAAUGGAGAGAUUGAUAUCUUGAAAAUUAAAUCAUGCGACAAUCUCGUUAAUCUAUUCACUAAGUUCCUACCAACUUCCUCAUUUGAAAGAUGUGUCAAAGGAAUUGGUAUGCGACGACUUAGGGAUUUGCAAGGUUCAGGGGGAGAAAUCCCCUAGACAUUAGCCUGUCUACACCAUCAUAUUACACUCUUUUCUCUUUAUGAGUUUUCUCUCACAAGGUUUCUCCUAAGGAGUUUUUAAUGAGAUAAUAUUAACACAAGAGUGUCAUAUUCCUUGUUUUCCCCACAGGGGUUUUUAAAGGAGUAUCAAAGACACAUAUUGUCCUCUAAACUACAACAUGAGUUUUCUCCCGUAAAGGUUUUCUCAUAUUAGUUUACAAUGAGGCAAUCAUUAAGUGUUAUAAGUUUCUCCUUCUUUUCCCAAGCGGUUUUAAGGAGUUUUACUAUAGCACAUAUACAUACGUAUUUUUCCUCAUUUGUAUCCUAUAGGAUUUUUGGAGGAGCAAUAUGAUCCAUUGAUCUCAACAAAGCGAUUCAAUCAAGGGGGAGUGUUACAGAUAAAAUAUCCGUGUGAUCUCAUCUCCUCAGAUUCUCUCCCCAGAGAUCUAUCCUAAUAGCUCGAGGACUAAGACUUCUCCCACGACCCAUACGUGCAUGUGAAGACCGGUUUCCCCUCCGAGACUUCCCCCAUGACUCAUCGUGGGCGUCGUGAUUACUUGGAGGAAGAGGUUCCCCUCCCCCUCGACUUGUAUAAAUACCAAUCAAUGGAAUAAAGAAAGACACACCAAGUUCAUUUACUUCCUCUGUAUUCACUCAUACUUUAUAUUCCACUCGUAACACUACUAAGUGCAUCAACAACGGCAUUUGCCUUCUCGGGGUGAUAAUGUACCUCCAAGUCAUAGUCAUUGAUUAACUCUAACCAAUGAUGUUGCCUUAGGUUCAUAUCUGACGAUGUGAAGAUAUAUUUUAAUCUCUUGUGAUCCGUAUAGAUGUCACACUUGUGCCCAAUCAAGUAGUGUCUCUAGAUCUUAAGAGGAUGGACUACUGCUGUCAGCUCUAGAUCAUGAGUAGGAUAGUUCAAUUCAUGUUUUCUCAAUUGCCUGGAUGCAUAUGCCACUACUCUUCCUUCUUGCAUAACCACACACCCUAGGCCUAAGCGGGAUGCAUCACAAUACAUAGAGAAGCUCUUGCUUAAGUCUGGUAAGGUCAACUCUAGGGUUGUUGUCAACCUCUUCUUUAGUUCUUCAAAGUUAGCUUGGCAUUUGUCUCACUAGAUAAACUUAGCACUCUUCUCUAACAAAGCUAUCAUAGGCUUAGCAAGUUUAGAUAAUCCUUCAAUGAACCUUCUAUAGUACCCGGAUCUCACUUGCAUUGGUUGAGGGUUUCCAGUUAAAUACAUCUUGCACCUUACUAGGAUCUACGGCUAUUCCCCCAUUAGAUACAAUGUGUCCCAAAAAGGAGACCUCCUUCAACCAAUAUUCACACUUACUCCUUUUGGCAUAUAACUUAUGUUCUCUGAGCUUUUGCAAGAUUAGCCUCAGAUGCUCAACAUGUUCCUCUUUAGAACUCGAUGAACAUCUUGUUCAUUAGAGCAACUCCAACAGUUUUGUAAAUUUUGUUUGACAAAUGUUGUUAUUUGCCAACUCCCAAAAUGAUAUGGGGAGGGAACAAAAAGGACAUCUCCAAGUGUUUGGCAAUUUUGACUUGGAAAAAACAAAAUUCUACUGGUUCUAAAGAUCAACGAAGAAGCAUCAGGUGGUCAGCUUGCUAUAAAAGCACACGCAUGCAGAAUGCCAAGCCUAUUCUAGGUGUGCAUAAAUGCCAAGAAAGGAGGAGAAUUUGCCAACUUGCUAUAAAUGUCAAACCCAAUAGCCAAACUGUUGGAUAGGAGAUUUUGAGAGUUUUGGCAAAAAACAAGAAUGCCAAACCUAUUUGCCAAACUGUUGGAGUUGCUCUUAGGUACAUGAAGUAUGCAGGUGCAUUGGUCAACCCAAAAGACAUAACCAUAUACUCAUACAGGCCAUAUGUGGUAGUGAAGGUUGUCUUUGGUACAUCCAAUGCACGAAUUUUCAGUUGAUGGUAAUCGGAAUGGAGGUAAAUUUUUAGAACACAUAAGGACCUUUUAACUGAUCAAACAAAUCAUCAAUUCUAGGCAAUGGGUACUUGUUUUUUAUGGUUUCUUCAUUAAGCGACCGGUAAUCCACACACAUCCUCCUAGUACCAUCUUUCUUGUCAACAAAGAUAAGCGAUGCUCCCCAAGGUGAAGAACUAGGACGAAUGAAACCUUUUUCUAACAACUCCUCCUCUAGUUCAUUUACCCCUGUUCUAUAUGAUAUCUUAGCUAUGGGUGCAGUUCUAGGUAAAAGGAUCAAUAAAGAAUUCGAUGUCACGAUCUGGUGGCAUACCUAGCAAUUCAUCAGGGAACACGUCCGGAAAUUCAUUCACCACUUGAUCCUCCUUGUUGACCUUGUCAGUCAUCUGGUUCAUGGUAGCAGUUGGUGGUGCUUGCAUUGCCACCUCCACACAAAUUCUAUCUUCUUUUGGUGAUGUCACCACAACUGACUUCUCCUGGCACUGUAUCACUGCCGGAUGCUGCUUCAUCCAAUCCAUCCCUAGAAUGAGCUCAAUUCUAGAUGUUCUUAGCAUAGUAGGGCUCAAUUUGAACUCUACCCCCUUAGCAAGCAUGCUACCUCUAGAUGAAUUUACUAGCAUAGAGUUUUUCAUGGCAUAGAGCUAUGCUAUGUACACUAAAAAAAGCUUGCGAGAUGAAAGAAUGUGAAGCUCCAGAAUCAAAAAGUACAGUAGCAGGGAUGAAGUUGAUAAUGAACAUACCCAACAUAACCUUGGGUGCCUCUUGGGCUGUAUCGGAUGACACAUGAUUCACCCUACCGGUGUGUGGCGGUCGAGCACUGGGCCUCUGCAGAGCUGGCAGGUUAUGCUUCUUUGGGCAUUGAUGGGCAUAGUGGCCCACCUCUCCAUAGCGGUAGCAAGCGUUGGGAUUAUUGGUCGUGGCAUUCUUCACUAGAACAUUAUUGGGCCCAACCUGGCAUGGUGCCUGAGGGUUAGCCUGUUGUUGGGGUCGCUGGUUGCCGUACUGCUGCUAGUACUGAGGGCGCUGCUGGUUCUGGUUCUGAUUGCACUGAGGGUACUGAAUCUGGUUCCACUGAUUAGGGGCCUCUAAUUCCUUUGGAGAAAACCCUACUGAGGAAAAGCACGUAGGCGAGUGUUGCUAACAGAUGUCUGCCCCUAAAGCUUCCUCUUCUUGGCAUCCAUUUCCUUACACUUAUUGUCGAUCACAAUAGCAUGGUUCACUAGUUCCUGAAAACUAGGGUAGACAUUGGACAUCAACUACAAUUGUAGGCCAUUAUACAAACCCUUCAAAAAAUGACGCUGGUUGUCAGAAUCCUUCACCACCUUAUGAGGAGCAUAACGUGACAACUGAGCAAACUUGUCACGGUACCCAACCACUGUCAUAGAGCCUUGCUUGAGAGCUCGGAACUCCUCUUGCUUGAGCUCGAUGAGCCCCUCAGGAAUAUGGUAAGAUCAAAAACUGUCAGUGAACUCUCUCUAGGUGACGGGUGGUGCAUUUUUUGGGCGUUCAUAUUGGUAGGACUCCCACCAUUUUUGUGCAGCCCCUUGUAGUUGACUGGAAGCGUAUAACACUUUCUUAACAUCAUUGCACUGGGGAAUGUUUAGCUGUUUUUCCAGGGCUCUUAACCAGUCAUCUGCCUCCAACGGGUCAGAAGCAUGUGUAAACACUAGGGGACGUCCCUUCAUGAACUCUCCCUGCUUAUCUCGAACCUAAACAUGGGGUGGUACGACAGUAGGCUGGUUAUCAAGGCGGUCCAUCAUCGCUUGCAUCAACUGUGCCUGCAUCCCAAUAAGCUGCUCUACCGUCAUCAGCUGUAUGGGUGGUGGUGGAUCCAUAGGUACGCCACGACCAUGUCCACAGCCACAUACACAACCACGGCCUCUUCCUCUUUCGUCAGCCAUCUGUUUUCAACAAAGAACUGCAAGCUUUUUAGAGACUUUCCAAUAUUUAUAAACCGGUUACAACAAUAAAUAGCAUUGCUGAUUUUUUUCUGGACGGGUUGCAAAAACAGCAGUGCAGUAUUUAGUUCAUAACUCGAGUCUUACAGACCCAAUAGGGGCAUGCAAUACAAUGUUGGAAAGCUUAUGAAAUCUGUUACAACUUUUAUUUAGAACAUUUUUACAGAUUCUGAAACUAACUUAUUCAGAAACAGAGUUAAAGAGAAUCUGUUCUGAGUUCCAGUCUGUGCAGAAGUCUCAGAUUGUAACAGGUAUAUCUCCCAGAUCCUAGCAGAUAUUGACAUGGUUCCAGUGGAAAAUGAAAGAUACACAUAUCUAGUGUCCUCCACAAAAAAUUCAGAACUUUUGGACGAACGCCUUUAGAGAUAUGAGACAAAAAUCACAGGCUGCUCCAGAAAACAGUACAGCAACAGCAGGAUAGAACGAACCCGAACUAAACUUUCAUUAAUUAAAACUCAAAGUCUAAGAUAAUAGAAGUUUGUGGACAUGUCCACUGUAAAAAGUAAUGGGUGAACGGGAUGACCUUUCCUGGUUCCCGGUUAUGUGUUUAUAUAGUGGAGGGAAGAGCCCCCUCCGUGGCUUUACAUAGAGAUAGGUACAAUAUUGACUUGACUUGAUCUACAUUCUAUGCAUGUAUGCAUGGUAAACAAUGGUGAACACAACACCACGUGUUUUACUUCUAACACCCCUACUCAAUCUCAACCGGCCACUAGGUUGAGGUUGUUUCUGAAGGCUUCUACCUUGGUUGCAAUUAGAGGUUUUGUGAAACCAUCCGCUACUUGAUCUGCAGAGUUUAUGAACCGGAUAUCUAGGAGCUUCUGUGCAACUCUUUCUCGGACGAAGUGGAAAUCUAUUUCUAUAUGUUUAGUGCGAGCAUGGAACACUGGAUUUGCAGAAAGAUAUUUUGCACCAAUGUUGUCACACCAUAAUCGAGCUGCCCGAGGAUGAAGAAUGCCAAGUUCAUCAAGUAAUUUUUGAAUCCACAGUACCUCUACCGUGGCAUUAGCUAAUGCUUUAUAUUCUGCUUCAGUGCUUGAUUGUGAGACUGUGGCUUGUUUCUUGGCACACCAUGAAAUGAGGUUGGGCCCAAGAAAAACUGCAAAGCCACAUGUGGAUCUUCGAUCAUCAGGGCAUCCUGCCCAAUCUGCAUCACUAAAAGCACUUACCAUCAUAGAAUGAGAGGCCUGGAAUCAGAGUCCCAAUUUUAUAGUCCCCUGCACAUAGCGAAGAAUUCUUUUAACUGCACUCCAGUGCACCGUAGUGGGUGCAUGCAAGAACUGACACACCUUGUUGACAGAAAAGGAGAUAUCUGGCCUUGUCAAAGUUAAGUAUUGUAACGCCCCUACUAUACUCCUGUAGCGGGGCUUAACUUGUCACCAUCUGUAACACUGAGUCUUUCUGAGCUGGCAAGUGGUGUGCUUACUGCUUUGCACUUGGCCAUACCGGCUCGAUAUACAACAUCUGUGGCAUAUUGCUCUUGUGACAGAACUAAACCCUCUCUUGAUCUCUUGACUUCUAUACCCAAGAAGUAAUGAAGAUCACCCAAAUCUUUGAGUGCAAAUGCAUGUUCUAGAUUCUUGAGUAGUGCAUUUGUAGCUUCUGUCGAUGAACUGGCGACAAUAAUGUCGUCGACGUAGACUAAGACAAAUAUGGUGUAUCGGCCGUUAUGGUAGAAGAAUAGUGAUGUGUCUCCUUUGGAUGGAAUGAAGCCUAAGGACUCAAGUUUCCCACAGAGCCUUGCAUACCAGGCACGGGGUGCUUGCUUGAGGCCACAUAGGGCUUUAUCAAGUUUGCACACCCAUAAUGGCCUAUUUUUGUCAACAUAGCCCGGAGGUUGAUGCAUGUACACUUCUUCUUCAAGGAUGCCAUGGAGAAAUGCAUUUUGAACAUCUAGUUGUCUGAGAGACCACCCUCUAGAUACUGCAAUAGAUAGAAUGAGUCGAAUUGUGGUUGCUUUAACAACUGGACUAAAGGUGUCUUCAUAAUCAAUUCCAUAGUUUUGUUUAAAACCCUUAGCAACAAGUCUAGCUUUAUGUCUAUCAAUUGAGCCAUCAGAUUUGCGUUUUACCUUGUAGACCCACUUGCAAUCUAUGAUGUUUUUAACUUUGGGUGGAGGAACAAGAUGCCACGUUCGAUUGCGAUGCAAGGCUUGCAUCUCUUGAUUCAUAGCCGUGAGCCAAUUUGAGUCAUUGAGAGCUUCACGGACGGAUGCUGGUUCUUCAGAGACCGUUGCUGACAUUCCCCAAGGUAUUGUGCCAUCGGUGCGACGUUUGGGACACUUGAUUCCUUGUGACAGGCGAGUUACUGGUCGACUCGACACAGGGGCAGCAGCAGGAUCUAGAACCGCAGAGGAUCUCGGGAGGGAGAUCUCAACAGGAGCAUGCGCCGGCAGCCGCAAAUCUGUGGGAUCCGCUGGAGAAGCCACAUCCAGGGCCGCAGGGUUGGUGUGAGUGGCCGCAGAGUUGUUUGGCGUAGAGGAUCCGUCGUUGAUCGGAGCGGUUGGGGAAGCCGCGUCCGUUGGUACAGAUGUCGCAGCAGGAGAAGGGCUCGGUGCCGAGGGCGACGCAGCACCGUGCGGAUGCAUCAGUCCCGAUUAGGAUCUAUGCUGGGCAGUCUGACGCGCUCCAGAUGGAUCUGAAUCGAGGUUCGUGCCGCCAUUGUCGUUGUUCCCUCCAGAGAAACACAUGAAAUAACGAGGAUGAGCCGCUGUUGGUGCAGCGUUUGACGCCGUUUCUUCAUCAAAAUUGGAUCGAUUUGUUCCUGCAUCUUCAAGGCUACGAGCAGAGCUUGGAGACAUGUUAGAUGCAGGGUUAGUGUCAUGCUGGUCAUGCAAAUUUGCAUCCCCAAAAGAGGUGGAAUUUUUUAGAGAAUCUGGGAGUAGGAGGAUUUCACCUCUAAGUUGUGCUCCGGCGUUUGGGUGUAGUGCAGAGAAAGGAAAAACAGAUUCAUCGAACACGAUGUCUCUGGAAAUAUAAACACGGCCUUCAGAUGGGUCUAAACACUUGAACCCUUUACGAGAGUUGUUGUAACCAAGGAAGACACAUUGUUUAGAGCGAAAUUGUAGUUUUUUUGUAUUGUAGGGACGCAGAUUUGGCCAACACGCACAUCCAAAGGUGCGUAGAAAGGAAUAGUCAGGUUUCUUGCUCAGAAGGCGCUCAUGAGGUGUGGUAUUUUGAAUGAUUCGGGAAGGAAGGCGAUUAAUAAGAAACAUAGCUGUUAAGAAGGCUUCAUCCCAAAAUUUUAGAGGCAUACUAGCAUGAGCAAGAAGAGAUAGUCCAAUCUCAACAAUAUGUCUAUGUUUGCGUUCAGCGGCCCCGUUUUGCUGAUGUGCAUGAGCGCAUGAAAUAUGGUGUUCAAUUCCUAUGCGUCGGAAAAGGAGUUUAGGGUUUGGUAUUCACCUCCCCAAUCAGAUUGGACCUUUAAUAUUUUUCGAUCAAAUUGUCUUUCAACAAGAUUUUAGAAAUCUUUGAAGCAGGAGAAUACUUCAGAUUUAUGGCGCAGUAGGUAAAUCUAUGUAAAUUUGGAAUAAUCAUCAAUAAAGCUUACAUAAUAAUUGUGUUUCCCGACCGAAGUUGGUGCGGGUCCCCAAACAUCAGAAAAAAUCAACUCACAAGGCUUGGCUGAAAUGCUGGUUGACUUAGGGUACGGUAGCUGAUGACUUUUGCCCCGUUGACAUGCAUCACAAAUUGAAUUGUUAUUUGGAUUGGAAACAUAAGGAAGAUCAUAAUUAUCUAAAAUUUGCUGAACUACAGCAGAGGAUGCAUGCCCUAGUCUAGCAUGCCACAAUGAUGAUGACGGCUUGAAGGCGCCAAGUGCUUGUUUAUUGGAUGACAGCUCGAGAGGAUAGAGGCCCCCUUCAGACCUGCCUCGAAGAAGAGUUCUCUUGGUCCCCUGCUCCUUAAUGAAAAAAUGGUUUGGGUGAAACUCAAGAAAAGCAUUGUUAUCACGAGCUGAUCGAUGGACAGAUACGAGGUUUUUGCUAGUUUGAGGAACAUGAAGGAUAUUUUUAAGAUGGAUUUGGCUAUGUGGGGAUUGCAAAGAGCUAUGACCAAUAUGACAAAUAUUCAUACCUGCACCAUUUGCAGCAUGCACCUGCUCAUUGCCGUUGUACCUGUCGCGGAUUGUUAACUUCUCGAGGUCUCUGGUGAUGUGAUCCGUAGCCCUGGUGUCCAUAUACCAAUUGGUAUCUACACCGUAGGAGGAAGAAGUAGUAGCGGCCGCCGUCUUCUGAGGAGGGCCACCGUUGUAGUUGGUGUCGUAGCGGUUCCAGCAGCGGUAGGCCGGAUGUCCUUCGAGUCCGCACACUUGGCAGAUGAUGCCGGGUUCGAUGUUUUGGUCGCGUCCUUUGGUGACGUUGCCGCGACCGCCCUUGGGGCCACGGCCAGGUCCCCCACGACCGCCGCGUCCGCGCGAGUUGGUGAAGUUGGUGGGCGGUCCGUCCCCUCGACCACCACGGGCAGCCAUGUUGACGGAGGACUGAGGAGUUGUACCACGAAAGGCCACGCGUUGUUCAUGGGCCACCAGCUACGCGUAGAGUUCGGAGAUGGUGAUUGGCUCCACACGGGUGGCGACAGAGGUGACGACGGACUCGUAGUCGAUGUCGAGGCCGGUGAGGAUGUACGAGACGAGUUCCUCGUCAUCCAGCUUGCGGACCGCCGAUGCCAUGUCAUCAGCGAGCCCCUUCAUCUUCGUAUAGUACUCGGCCAUAGACGAAGAUCCCUUCAAUGCUGUGGCGAGUGCCAUCCGCGUCGAGAUGACACGAGCACGAGACUGGGAGGCAUGUUGCUCCUGAAUGGCGGCCCAUAGAGUAGCCGCGGUUGUGGCGGAUGAGACUGGGCCAAAGAUCUCUUUCCAGAGAGAGGAAAACAAGUAGCUGAGGACCUGUUGGUCCUUAGCGAUCCACUUGUUGUAUUCUGGAUUGGGGGUGGGAUCGGGUUUGGGUGUGGAUGAAUCAGCCGGGGAUGCCGGCGUGAUGAAUUCAGAUGGAGGUGUGGCAGAUGGGGAGAUAUAUCUCCAGCACUCGGCUCCCUUGAGUGUGGCGGAUACCUGGGCAUACCACAUGGAAUAAUUGCCCUUGGUGAGUAAGACGGUGGGAGGGGGAGGAAACCGAAGGAGAAUGCAGCGGAUUGCGCCAUGGAUCGGAAGAAUUGUUUCCGUAUGGAAUAUGGAGCUAGAUACCAUGUAAAAAGUAAUGGGUGAACGGGAUGACCUUUCCUGGUUCCCGGUUACGUGUUUAUAUAGUGGAGGGAAGAGUCCCCUCCGUGGCUUUACAUAGAGAUAGGUACAAUAUUGACUUGACUUGAUCUACAUUCUAUUCUAGCCUAUGCAUGUAUGCAAUAUUGACUUGACUUGAUCUACAUUCUAUUCUAGCCUAUGCAUGUAUGCAUGGUAAACAAUGGUGAACACAACACCACGUGUUUUACUUCUAACAUCCACAACCUUCCAGCAGUCAUUACAAAAAUCCAAAUCAUACAAUGACAUAAAAGAAGUUCAACUGGCACAUCAAAUGUUCACAUCCACACAAGACUCAACUGACUCAACGAGACUACGAGAUAAAACUGAUAUGGCAUCCUACUCCUAUGGUGCAUUGCCGGUGAUGCUGGGCGGUGGAGUCUUCUUCUUGUAAAGCAGUGGUAGUCCAAGCUGCUCUCUGAGGUUGUUUGUCAUUUCCUUGGAAGCGAUCCAAGGACUCCUGCUUGUCGCGCAAUUCCUCCUGUAGGUCCUCAUUAGCCAUCUGCAAGACAUGCAUAUGUCUGACAGUGGCAUCCAAUGGUGUGUCGACCUCCUGUGGGUUCUCAGUGGACCAAGUACCAAUGGUGGAGUCAUAGCAACGAAGGAUCAUGACCAAUUACGCAGCCAUGAAUAUAAAAGGUACAUGUAAAGGAAGAAUCGCAAUAGGCCCUGAGCAUUGCCUGAGUUAGCAGGAAAAAGAAAGAGAUGUAAAUUGUGUAACGGUAGCCGAAUCACUACAAACCAGACAUUAAACAUGGUUUAUGAUGGAGUCAUGACAGCAGGUGCCCAUUCACUACAAAAUAAAUCCAACAGCAAAGGAUACACAAAAAAUAAUAAGUAAUCAUCAUAGAGUUGACAUUAGGUAAGAGCAAAAUCAUAUUUUAGAUAGAAAAGUUAUAUUCAUUGCAAGCCCAAUUGUAAAUACAUCAUUGACAAUUGGAUGUGCUCAGUAAUAGAACAACCAAUAAAUUGCAUGAAGCAAAUACAUUGUUGACAAUAGAUGUAUGGCGAUCAACAAAUGGAUAAAAAUCUGCAACUAAUAUAACAAUAUUGUCACGAUAAAGGUACCAAAAAUAGCAACAUUCAUGGAAGAAUGAAAUACUUAUGUAAUAAUCACUGAACAAUUCAAUUAUUUCAGUCUAAAAAAGAUCAUCAUUGCACAAUCCCCAAGCCACAGUAUAUAAUAUGAAUAUAACAAUUAAUCAUGUCUGUACAGGGAAGGAUAUCAAUUCUGCACAGGAGGAAGGGGAGGAAGGGGAGGGAGCAGGGGAAAGAGGAAGGAGAAGGAGAAGGAGAGAGAGCUAACACCGGAGUUUAAGGUUUGAUCCGUCUGGCAUGGUACCUAGGGUUUCGCUGAGUAGAGGAGCGCAUGCUUACCAGGCGAGAGGAGGCAUCGAGGAGACCGCACGGACGAUGGGGGACAUGGGGAAGGGGGCGUUAGGCCCCACCUUGCCGACGCACCAUCCCUGCGAACGCUGACGCCUCACGCCCGCGCUGCCUGGCCGCUACAGCCUGAGGAGGGAAGGGGAGAAAGAGAGAGGAAGGGGAGAGGGAGGAGGAGGAGGAGGGUGGGUGCCGCCGCCGCGAGCCGGUCGCAGCGGUCGACGUCGCGCAUGGUUGCGUCGGAGAGCAAGGGCGAGAGGGACAGCGGGGCGAGUAGAGGUAGGCGGCGGUAUUUUUUUCUCUAGGGAGUCGGAUGAAAGCGGAGAAGGGGUGGUAGAAGCUGAAACCCCGGUUAUAUAUAUACCGUACUGUUGCUACUGCACAAAAGCUAGUAGUUUACGUUGAGAACAGUAAGAAGCUGCGAGGAGCCAGUAGAAUCUGCACUGUAUAAUUAGAAGUUGGUUCUAGAAAAUCCUACGGGAGAGACCUAGACUGUUGGAUUGGCAGAUACAACGGACGAAAACAUUUUAGCCGAUGUGGAUAGGGCUUCUGCUGCAGGAGCUGACGCGGUUUGUAGAGGUGAAAUUUCUAGGGAUAAUUAGAAAUUAUAUAUAGCUCAUAUAUUAUAUAUAAAAUGACGAAGCGCCUCUAAAUUGUUUAUGCAUGUAUGGUAACGGUUGAACUUGAACAUCUAGUAUCAGAGAAUCAUACUAUCACUAGAGCAGUGCACGGCGUUGGCGCGCGUGGAAUGUGCCCGCACAUUAUUUUUGGGCUAGUUUGCAUAGUUGGACCAUACUUUAAUGGAGUAAGAAUUUUAGACCUUUUAACAUUUUUUAAGAAGUAUAGACGUGUAGUAGCUCAGAAAGUAUGUAUGAACUUUCCCAGAGUUGCGUACUGUCAGAAGUUAGCAUCACCAUGUCGGUGGAUUGCCAUCCAACGGUUUAGGUUUGUCAAAUGAUAUUAUGAUGACAUGGCAAAAUACUUUUUUGUUAACGCGACGCGGUUAAAGUCAUUAAAGAUAGUACAAAACAAAUGCAACAAAAAAAUUAUAAAAUAGAAACUGUAGCACUUUCAUUUGUAUUUAAUAAAUAUUAUCCAAUCACUUGAGUUUAUCAGCCGAAUCUGUCUGCCAUUCAGUAGUGUUUUUCUCAUAAUAAAUUAGCCAACAAUACUUUCUGUCAUGACUUAUCAGCCAAACGAACAAGGUCGUCUUGCAAAUUACAGAUAAAUUGUACACUUAGUUAUUUUUUAUCUAUAUUUAAUACUCCAUACAUGUGCCAUAAAAUUCGAUGUGACAUGGAAUCUUGAAAAAUUUUGCAAAAUUUUUUUAGAACUAAAGAGUGUUAGCCACCAUGUACCUGUUCUACAUACGACAUACGGUGAGCACUAAGAAUGAAAACAGUCGGAAACGGUCGAAAAACUCUUAAAUUGUUUUCUACUUUUACAUUUGAAAUACGAAAACAAAUACAAAAACGUAAAGUCGGACAUAAAAACGAACAUGAACUUACGAAAUAUCGAGAAUUCCGAAAACGAACCAAUUCAAGCGGAUUUAUGUCGAACAUGAAAACCUAUGUUUUAAAUAGCGAGUUAAGGUCAAGGUGUUUAGCGUUUUAUAAAUCGUAAUUAACGUACUUUAGCGACAAAAUUGUGCAUGAACGCAAAUAGCAACACAAUUUUUUUCAAGCUAUUUCGAGCUAUAGCGGCAAAAAUAGCGGGCUAUUUUUUCCAUGAUGAAAACUCAAUACAGAAUAUUGAUUUGUAGUACCAAGUGCAUGACUAAGUAUAUGCACGAUCAAGUUCAAAUGUAUAUAAUAAUUAAAAAGUGCAUGAUCCUUGGUCUUAGGUAUUUAAUGCAAUAGCCCACACAUUAAUAAAGUCUAGAACAAGUAAUUAAUAGCUAGCAUGAACGUAGCUGACUACCAGUAGAAAGAACGCGGGUGCAUGGUGAGUAGUCUGUAAUUGGGCUGUGUGACCGUACAGUUGUUUAAAUUUGGUUUAAACUAAGGUUUGAAUUCGAAAUAUUUCAAAUUAAAAGUAGAAAAGUAGAAAACGGUUAAAAAUUAUCUAAACCAUUUUCUACUUUUAUAUUUAAAAUACAAAACAUCUAAAAUACGAAAGCGAAAACGAUAAAGUCAGACAAGAAAAUACGAAUUCAAUUAGGUUAAAUAUAGAAAGCUAUUCAGUCCGGUUGGGGAUAUUUUCGUUCCAUUUUCACCGUUAGUGAGCACACAUAGGCCUUAUUUAGUUCCCAAAAUUUUUUGGGUUGGUGUACUAUAACAUUUUUGUUUCUAUUUGAUAAACAUUGUCCAAUCAUGGAGUAACUAGGCUCAAAAGAUUCAUCCUACGAUUUACAGAUAAACUGUGCAAUUAGUUUUUAUUUUUAUCUAUAUUUAAUGCUCCAUGCAUGUGUCACAAGAUUCGAUGUGACGGGAAAUUUUGAAAAGUUUUGGGUUUUUGGAGGUAACUAAACAAGGCCAUAACAAACGAGGCUUUGUUUAGAUGCGAAAUUUUUUUGAAUUUCACUACUGUAGCACUUCGUUUGUUUGUGACAAAUAUUGUCUAAUUAUAGACUAACUAAGAUCAAAAGAUAUGUCUCGUGAUUUACUGUGUAAUUAAUUUUUGUUUUUAUCUAUAUUUAAUGCUUUAUGCAUAUGUCGUAAGAUUUAAUGUGACGAAAAAUUUUGAAAACUUUUUGAUUUUUGGGCGAACUAAGCCGGAAUCUUCUUUGGCUCGCGCUCCUCCGCCGCACCUGCGUCUCUGGCCCGCCGCUGGCUCGCGCUCGCUCCCACCUGUGUCCUCCACCUUCCCUGCGCCGGGCGCCUCCGCCACCUGCGACCCCACCUCCGCCAUGCUCGCUCUGGCUGCCUCCGCGGAUGCCCUCGACGCGGGUGUCCCCAGCCGGCAAUAUAUUUCUUUGUAUAUUCAUUUCAUAGAAAUAAUUUGUAAAUGUUUCUAAAAAAUCGAUAUAUAUUUCUCUGAAAUUUGCAAUUCAUAUAUAACUAUAGAAAUUGUGUUAUCCCCAAAUUACAUCACUUUGUCUGAUAAGUUACAUCGAAAAAACAUUAUAAAUAAAAUAAGACCGUGUAAAUAUAGCUGCAUAGGCAAAAAAUCAGUUGCCAGGAGCUUCUAAAACUUUCAGUUGCUUUGCUAGGUAGACAGCUAUUUAAAUCAUCACACGGAGCUGCAGUCCGCCGGCUGGAAGGAGAGCACGCCUUGUCCGAGGUCGUAGAGCAGGUGCAUGUCCUGCUGCAUGUAGUUGCCGAUGAUGGUCGUCUCGUUCAGCGGCAGCGUGCUGUUCGGCCCUCCCGAGCUGAACACCACCAUGCACGCCGUGCUGUCGUCCACGGGCCCCCAGUAGUUCUCCGGCGGCACCACGACGUCCCCGCCGCCGCCGCCGCCGCUUCCGAAGUGCAGGACCAGCGGGGGCACCAGCUUUCCGGCGUCCCCCGGCGCCACGCCGCCGACGCACAGGUCGAGCCCUUCCGCCCCGGCCGGCGGCGGCACGACGCUGGCGCCCAGCUGCCGGACGAGCUCAUCUCUCAGUGCCUGGUACGCCACGUCGAUGAGGCUCGUGAACGGGGAGCCCGAGUCGAUGAGCGUGCCGCCCCACUUCGCCGGCGCGACCUCCCGGAGGUCGAACGCGGCCGCGGGGACGUCGAGCUUGGCUGUCCCCACCGUGAUCCCAGUGAGGGGAAGGUAGUAGAACGAGUCGAACGGGUCGUCGUCAGGGUUCUUGAGGAACGGCACGGACGUCGCCGGCGCGCCGCCGCCGCUCAGGCCGGCGGACGCGCCGACGAACAGGGUGCUCGUGUUCGCGGCGUCGCUGAAGUAAGGCGUGAGGCAGUAGGAGAACUUGUUGUCGCCGAGCUGCGACGGCAGCGACAGCUUGCCCCUGCCCAGCCCGAUGAUGCCGGACGCGCCGUCCAGGGAGCCCGGCGUGAGCCUGCUCGCGGUGAUGCACCCGAAGGCGAGGCUCACGUUGUUCUCCGACGACUGGCCGUGGCCGAACGUGAACACCUCGGUGCCGAGGAACCCGCCGAUGGCGCCGGCGCCGUAGGCGGUGAGCACGGCGCACGCCUUGCCGUCGCGCGCGCACCGGGUCUCGGAGCCGAGCAAGCACGCCGUGUCGUUGCACGCCACGGGCUUGGCCGUGCGCGACCGGGACGGGUCGUAGAAGGUGAGGUCCUGGCCGAAGCAGCCGUUCGCACGGCAGGUGGAGCACUGCGUCCAGAUGAGGUUGCUGCCGGUGUCGAUGAUGGCCGCCGCCUGCUGCGGCGGGUCGCCGAUGAGGUACUCGGCGAUGUACUGUGUCUCGUUCCAGUGGAUGGGCGCGCUCGCCUCGCCGCCGCCACCGGCCAUGGACGCCAGACGGCGGUGGGUGCGCUCGGUGGCACGGCGCAUGCGCUCCUUGGUGGUGCAGUUCUGCUUGGCGUCGACGUGGGUGAGCUCGAGACGGAGGCCUGCUGCUGCUGCUGCUGCCGCCGCGCAGGUGGAAAACGCCAGGGCGGCGCACAAGAGCGCGAGCCAGAGCAAGUUUCUCGAGGGUCUCGCCAUUUUUGUGGUAUGUACUGAGCUCCUUGGCGUCUGUGUGUGCAUGUGGGGAAGUAUAUAUACACGCAAGCAAAUGAGUGAAGAAUUAUUGGAUAUUUGGAUGGGAAAUAAAAUGUCCAUAUGUCGACAUUGCAACCUUUUAAUUGCAAUGGGUGUAUUUGAAAUUUACAAUUUUUUUUGUAAAUUCAAAAUAACAAAGUUUUGAUAGGAUAAGCACGAGGUUUAUAUAUCUAUACUGGCUAUGUUAUUGACGAAGAUCACGCGGAUAUAUUAUUUGAUCAUGCAUCAAGUUGACUAGACUUCAUCUACCUAGCUAUAUAUGUUGCUGAGUUAAUGUUUAAAUGGAACAGUUAAAGGUUAUUGCGUAUUGGCAGAUGUCAUUCAUGACAGUGAUGUUUACGUUGGAAUUCACGUCUAGCAAGAGCAGAUACAAUACAAAGGCGCGCAACCUUCCGAAGCAGAAGAAUUACGUAUUGGGCGAUGCUAUCAAUGAGUAGGUAGGAGUGGCAUUUUUGCUGUCAGUGACUUGGUCAUCCGAAAUUCCAAAUAAAAACCUACGUAUAAAUUAAGAUUAUUCUUCGGCAAGUGGGUGGCAAAUCCACGUCUAAUCUCCAAAUGCCAAACAUUUGUUCGAUCUUGAUGUAUAGAAAAUGCUCCGUGCUAAAUAUAUUAAUUCUUGCAUUGUACCUCUAGAAGCUCGGAACUUGAUCGCUCUUUUGGUGGUAAAGAUCGAUAUUUUUUUGGCACUCGAUCUCUUGUAGAGGACAAUCAGGUGGCAUCAUGUUGGCUGUUAGCCUCCAAUUGUUUGAGAUCUCUUCAGUACUAUAACUUUCAUUUAAGUCCUUUCUCCAUAGAGAUCAUUUGAAAAUAUUUGACCAUACAUCAAGUGGGUGGCAAAUCCGCGUCUAAUCUCCAAACGUCAAAGCAUUCGUUUUUACUUAUAAAAAUGCUAGGCGCUAAAUAUGUCAAUUCUUGUGAUGUACAUUAUGUACAAGCUCGCAAAACCAUCUACUUUAUCUUACUAGAAAAUUGGACCCCAUAUUACAAAAUAUAUUAUUUUUUGACAUGUACUAUAUAUACAAGUUAGGAACCAUUUAUUAUAUGUUAUACUUCAAAAAAAAGAUACUAGUAAGGGCAAUCGCAACAACCCAAAAACUAGGUGUUUCUAUGUUUAUUAGUUAGGAUGAUAACUAAGCAAAAUGGUGAUGUGGCAUUGUAAUUAAUGAAGAGAGGUGAGAAAAUGAUUUUUUAGAGAAGAAAUUAUAUCUACAGGGAACCAAUAUAAUGAAGAAAUGUGAUAGGCUGAUAGGAGAGAGAUAAUUACAUUGUUGGACAAUAUUUAUUUUGAAGAAACCAACCAUUGAAAAUAUGAUUUCUACAUGUAGUGUCUAGAUGACUUAGCAAGUAUAUAUAUAAACUAUCUCAUAACUUUUGAAUUGUGACUACCCUAAAUAUAAAUGUGUGUUGCUAUGGACCAAGCUACUAACUUUUGUUUGGUAAGGCUUCUUUGCAAAUGGUUUCACCUAAGAAUACAGAGAAGCCGAAGAAACCAUGUUUUGGUUGUGGAGACAUCGAGUUAGUGUUUGGUAGUGUUUCAUUAGAAAAGUUAGAGAAGCCAGAGUUGAAGAGAGCCUAAAAACCUAGAACCAUCUUAUCCAUAGUGGAGUUUUACCUCACAUGGGUCAGAUUGACAGCCUAGGCAAAGGUUAAGGCGGCCACAAUCUCUGAGCUUCUGUGCAUGAGCUAAGUAGGCUUAAUGAUGCUAGUACAUUCCAAACACGAUGUUGCUUUAGCCCGACAGUGAGUUGUCUUUUCUUUUCAAUUGUUGAUAUUUUAGUUUUUAGUAUUUAUUGUUUGUUUGUGCAUGAAAUUUUCUAUAGGAGUAUUGGACCCAUAAGUAUUUGCAUAUUCUGCAAAAAACAUAUAUGGCAUAUUUGUUAAUUUGGCAAAGAUGAGUCUUCUCAGUUAAGUGCUAGUACUUAUGGAUUAUAUUAGCGUGGGAACUGAACUAUGCUGCCUUCCUAUGCCAAUCUGCCAUGACGAAGCUAUAAGUCAUCCUCAUGCUGCAGCUCAGAAGCUCACCAUCCAUACACCAUUAGGCUCUGUUCAGUUCACAGGGAUCCAAUGCCCAAGCUAUUUUUUUCAAAUAUGGGAAUAAGUCACUACCAGAAUCUAGAAUUAUCUUUAGUACCAAAAACUACCAAUAGAAUGCUAAAAUUGUCAAAGAAUAAUCCUUGGCUAUUAACCAUCAAGCAAAUUCUGUCAAGGAUACACAUAAGGGAAAUUCAUUUUCUUAGCGGUUUUGUCACUUGAAUGAUGAUUUUCUUGGAGACUAGCUGUGAAGGAAAUUAAGAGAACAACUAAUUUUGCAAAACAACAAGAAAAUGUUCAAACCUUCAAGUAAAUUAGUUUUCCUUAGUGUCGGUAACCUCCAAGGAAAUAUUCUAGAACCCCAGGUAAUUAUUAUUUCCUUGGCUACCCUUCCCUCCAAGGAAAUUGUGGUUUUUCUUGACUAUCAUUAACCGCCAAGAUAGUUCUGACUUUGUAUUUGCAAAUAAUUAAUCAAAUAAAUUAUAAUAUUUGAGUCACUAAACUCAACUAACAUAUGAUGAAAUGCAUAUAAUUUUUUUGUAGUGGGGCAGCAACACUCUUGUUCUUCCGCCUUCAAUGCUUAUAGAGGAGCUGAAACAUUUAUGAUGGAGCAUCUCCAUUGAUCCAAGGGGAUCGCCAAAAUAAGGCUUUUGUCAUUGUGUACAUGUACCCUUGUGGUAGCCAUGAAUGAUCAAAAUCCACCACAUCUAUAGGUAACUCCAUCUGGACCCAUGGUUUGUGUGGUUAAGUCCAAGGAAACCAGAGCUAAAGUUGAGCAUGCAGCCCGCAGGCCAAAGACACGGCCCAAAGCACGGUCAUUUGGCCCGGCCCGAGCACGGCACGGCCCGAUCCUAACUGGGCCCGAGCCGGCCCGAAGCACGUUGCGGGCCGUGCUUGGGCCAACCCCUCGGCCCGCUGGGCGGCACGGCACGGCACGCUUUUAACAGCAGGCACGGUGUCGGCACGGUAUCCGAAAAUUUGUGAAACUUGAAGUAUCAGGUUCUAUGACUUGUGAAACUUGUAACUUUUGGCAAGUAAAAUAUGAUAUGAGAGUAUAUUGUGUUAUGUGAAUUGUGAAGUAUUAAUGUAUGUGACUUGAAUGUAAUGUAUUUAUGCUUUGUUAAAUUCUAUAUUAAAUUUGGUGUUUUUCAUAUAUCGGGCCAUGGGCCGGCCCGAAGGACUAUUGGGCCUCGUGCCUUUCGGGCCGGCCCGGCACGAAAAUCGGUCCACGGGCCGUGCCUGGGCCGUCAGGCAGGCACGAUGGCCUGUGGAGGCACGGGCCGUUGGCACGCGGGCCAUACGGGCCCGUGCCCUUUCGGGCCGUGCCUAGCACGGGCCCGUUGCUCAUCUUUAACCAGAGUCAACACAAGCAAAGUGUGCGAGCAAAAUGUUCCAGGUCUGGAAUUCCAUGUCCUCCAAGAUGGGUUGGCCAAUCUGCUUUCUUCCAACUAACCUUGCAUUUGCCUCCUUUGAGCUCCUCACAUCCCGCCCACAAAAAUGCAUGUCUUUCUUUGUCCAAAUUCUUAUUGAACUAUAGUUUAAUUAUCUGCAUGUUGAAAUAAGAACUACUACAGACUUUUCAGUUGAACAAUGAUGAAGCUGAAUAUUAGUGAUAUGGACUAUUUUGUUGGAGAGCAGGUUUAACAUCUAAGAUGACCACUAGAAAUGCUCUAGUCAGCUAGUAGUAGCGUUAAGUGAUCGAUGCCAAUACAUGAAGUUGGAUAUCAGUGAUCAUUCAAUGCAGCAAAUAAAAUGAGAUAGAUUGCCAAGCUUUAUGAGGUACAAAAUAUAUUAUACGAUAUAUCUCUAUAUGUUAGUAUUUCUUAAUGCAAACAGAAAUAAUCCACAAACACAUAGAAUUACCGUUAUAGUUCACCUGGAAUUAUUCAAAGUAUCAUAUUUUCCAUAGGGAGCAGAGGUACUCUUCUAGCUAGUUCAUCUAAGGACAAAACAAUGGUAGAGUUGGUAGAGGUCAAGAUGGAUUCCUAUGGCUUUAAGGUCUAUGGAUAGAUAAAUUUUGCUUCUACUCACUCACUUUGGGCAACGUGAGCACUUGGUCUGCCAAGCGUUGCUAGUCUGUAGCUCUACAUCAAACACGAACAUAGGGGAUUACAAGGGACGGAUAGGGUUGUCACCACCUAUUUCCUAUCCCUCUAUUGUGGGUCACGAGGCAAACAAAGGUAGCCUCUAGCUUAGACAUCACGUCUACGCUAUCGACUACUACUCUAGCAUCAUAUAGGGUUAUCCAUUUUAUCAGGAGCCCUCUACUAGAGUAUCUACUACAAGAAUGGAUGAUGAACCUGCAGCAAAUAAGAGUGAAACUUAACUAAAAGAAAAGGACUCAAUACCACAAGAACCAUGAACACUCACUUAGCGAAAGAAUCCGUCGAGGUAUAGGUGUUUGUUGAGGUACAAGAUGUUGAGACACCAAUAAGUCUGGUGCUUCCAUGAGCUCUCCUCACAUCCUAGCCAUCUAGGAUUCAAAGAAUCCAAGAGUAACAAAUUGAAAACCAACCACUACCUAGCACUAAAACUCCACAAAUGCCCAAGAAUGGAAAUUAGCCCUUAGAGAGGAUCUCUAUUUUUUUCAAUUGUCACUUAAGAAGAUUGUUGGGAUUGACACCUUUGGCAAACAACACCCUCUUCAUCGGGGGCCUCGAUUGAUGUUUCUUACAUGAUCUCGAAGGUAUAAAGCCAUAGCUCGGAGUACCUGCAAGGACGCAAAGGUCUGAGUUGGCAGAUGGUGGAGGUGGUUUUGGAGCUUCCUAAUAGCCUGAGGACACCCUUAGGACACCACAUCUUUGCAAUGGAGACAAUAACAAGGGCAAAGGUGGCAAAUGAAAGAUGUUGUAGGUUCAUUACCAUGAAGAGUAAUUAGAAUGCCGAUGUGUGACCUCCAAUGGCAUAACACUCAAGGCACUAAGGGUUUAUUUUGGUCUGAGCUCACGUCCUACGUCCACCAACGAUUUUGUAUUUUGAGCGUUCGAGAGAGAGGGGGUUACAAUCAAGCAGGGGAGAGAGAUGUGUAGUUAUAGGGAGUUGCAAGAGUUCUUGCUUUGCUUCCAUUGCUAAUGGUGUCAUGCCUGUCUUAUAAAGCAAGAGAUACAAGAUGGUUCUUUGAGAUGUAGUGGACUGACAACGAAGGUUGCGGUGCGAGAUCCCUAGGAUAUGCUAUGUGGAUCAUGGAUCUGGCCAUCUUGGUCUUUGCAUAGUGCGAACACAAGGUCGAGAAGUACCCUUGUGGUACGUUUUGUGAUGAGUGAUUGUCAACGUGAUCCACGAAUAGGUUGAGUUGGUGACUAACAUUACCAUGGCGAAAGCUACGUGUGCGACAUGUCUCUUGGCUUGUGGUGUUCAGCUGUGGAGCUCGGAGGCGGUGGUCGACGGCGAGGUGAAGGUCAAGUAGAGACGUGCCGUGCUGAUGGACCUGGAGCGGUGAAGGACGGACGUGAGGCUUGGACUGACGGACCAGGAGGCCGGGUGACCAGCCGUAGUGGCUGACAUCUGGGACAUCGACAAGUGCGAGUGUACAUGGGAGUGACCGUGUUGACCAAGUCAAGACGGCAGACGCGAGUCGAGCGAGGCUCAGGAGGACUUAGCGGGCCGGCCAGUCGAGGACGGCGGUGACACGUGUCGAGUGGCGGGGAAGCAUAUGGAGUACGCUACUCGUGGCGGGUUUCGCGGGUUUGGGCCUCAAAACCCGGGCGGAGGUCCCGAUGCGGACGGAUGGCACGUGGCGGCAUCGAUGAGAUCGCUUCGGAGCGAGGCUACCGGUGAGGAGGCGCGGUGGCCGUCGGAUUUAGGUCAUGUCGAGUUGGACUAGAAUGCCCAUGGGGCUAGCUAGUUCGCUCAAAAAUAUCUAGGGACAUUUGGGGAAUAUGUAAUAUGCCUGAUAAAUAAACCGGGGGAGUUCCCCAUCUUCCUAAGGGCCUUUUACAUAUUUACCAUUAUAACGGUUGUCUCUCACCCGAUUAUCACUCUUAUAAUGUGUCAUACAUAUUUACCAUCUUUAAGCGAUAACUCUUACAUUUAGACCACAUUUGCACAUGUGGCAACCCAGACCCACUGACAUGGUGGUGCUGACUCAGCAUGGGCAGACGAAAUGACGAUGCUGCCCCUGGCCUCAUUUUCUUCUAAACACAGCAGCAUAAAAACCCCUCUAUUGAUAAAAAAAACACAGCAACAUAUUUUAUUUGCACACAGACAGCAACAUAAUACAAGGAUUUGCUGUGUUUUUUUUAUGUUGCUGUGUUUUUUUUUAUCAAUAGAGGGGUUUUUAUGCUGCUGUGUUUAGAAAAAAAAUGAGGCCAGGGGCAGCAUCGUCAUUUUGCCUACCCAUGCUGAGUCAGCACCACCAUAUCAGUCGGUCUGGACUGCCACAUGUGCAAAUGUGGUCUAAAUGUAAGAGUUAUCGCUUAAAGAUGGUAAAUAUGUAUGGCACAUUAUAAGAGUGAUAAUCGGGUGAGAGGCAACCGUUAUGAUGGUAAAUAUGUAAAAGGCCCUCUUCCUAACCCUCUCUCCACCUCUCUCUCGGUACUCACUCCCUCUUUCUGAAGUUUCAGUUUUGCUCUCUCGUAGCUCUCUCUCUCUAGGGUUAGGUUUUCUGAUUUCUAAAGAUUUGAUGAACUGAAAAAUUGGUGAUUGUACUUGUGUUUUUGACAUGGGAAUGGAGGCCCGAAUCCUCCUCGUGCCCUCUGGGAUUCGUCACGUUUAGUUGUGAUUUUUGGUUGUCCCAAAAUGUGCUUGUGCUAAUGUUUUUCGCGAGUUACUGUUCAUCAUUUUCUCCCGUUGUUGAUUUGUGCUUGUCUUGAGUUUUCUGUGGAAUUUGUUUGGCUGUGAUGACGCUCCAUCGAGUGAUGUACCUGCUCACCAAGUGAUAUGAUUCAAUUCCACUCGUGCAUCAAGAUUCAAACAAUUUUUGAUUUUGGGGAAUUUUUCGAGUUCUUACUCGUGAUCUGAAUUUCCCGGAGGGAGAACUCGUCUUGGGCCAUGAUUUCUUGGAAAUAGCUUUUCUUCUAUGCUGUGAUUACCUAUGCAAAUUUUGGGAACAAAUCAUGAAGCUUUGGUCAAGAUUUCUUUGAUUUUUGGCUCACUGUUCUUCCUGUUCGCAGCGCUCUGUGUCUUUUGGUUGUGUCCUGCGGAGAGCAGACCCUCCGACGGGCUCCUUGUUCAUUGUGAAGGUCGAGCAGCAGGAGCUGCGCUCGUGCUCUCAGGCACCGAGCUAGUGCUCGUCCAUGUGCACAGGCACCCGCCUGUUCUUGCUGUGAGGUAGAGCACUCAAGCACAAGCAGCAGCUGCUCACCCGUGGAUUCCAGUAAUCAGCCUCGAGUUUGUCUGCUUGCUUUCGAUGUUUGUUUUGUAUUCGUUCUCGGUCCCAGAAUCUGUGUUCACAUCCAGCAGGCAGCAGUGCCCAUCGUGAGCCAACAGCCAAGGUGAAUCAGUGUUUGAUUGUGAUUGGUCAGAAGCUAACUUGUUUCAUCCGUGAUUCACUAAUUGUUUAAAGCUUUGAACAUUAAAUUACUUUUGGAUUCUCACGGUUGUGAAUUUAUUUAGUUCUUGUUGCGAGUGGAUUGAGCAGAGGAGAGAGUCACAUACCACAAGCAUCUAGCUCUGCAGAUGAAAUUUUCAAGGGAUUUUCUGUCCAAUUUUUUUGCAGCCAUGAUUUCCUGUUUCGCUCGUAAUUUAGUCGUUUGAGUUCCAAAUCGUGUUCUGUCUGUUGCGUUGGUUUUCUACCGCUGUGAGUAAUCAAUCUAGAUACUCUCGUCACCUGUUGGCUUGAGUAUUUUAGGUUUGACAAUUUGCUCUUGGGACAGAGGCCAAAUAUAUAUUUCCAGAGAAAAUUUAAGGCUCCCAUUCACCCCCCUCUGGUCGCCGUUUUCGAUCCUUCACAUAGCGAGCUAUUGGAUGGGCCGGGCCACUCCUAUUGAUUUUUCAUCCAUUCACCUCCUCGGUCGCCUCACCUCUAAAUACUAUAUUAUCUCUAACUACGUCUAAUGAGCCUAGCUCUCAAGACAUAAGAGAGAGAGGACGAAUGUGAUGAAAGAGAGAAGAAAGAUUAUGGCCGCAACUAGCUCGAAUGAAUAUUGGUGAUCUCGAUUUGCAAGAAAAUUAGCUUGAUUUGGGUUCAAUUUAACAUUAUGCCUUCGAACCGAUUUAUCCAAAACUGAUUUUUGGUUAACGCUUCUCUAAAACCAAAAUUGUUUAUAACCGAUUAAAUCGAACCGAUUUGACCAAAUUAACCAAAUGUUCAGGCCUAACUAAGGAGGACUUCCAUGGACAUAGUGGCUCUGGAUGCAAUGAAUUAAGGUUCUAUUUGGCAAUUACGGAGGAAAGGAGCAAAGUUGAAGAGGCUUUAUGAGAGGAAGGCAGCCAUGGCCCAUGGAGAUUGUGCCUAAUGUGGAGCUAUCAAGGUGGUGGAUUUUACCCUUACAACAUGACUAAGGAGGCAUGCACCAUAAUGCAAGCAACUAAAUACAACACUAUCAAAUGUAACUUAUAUGAGUCUAGCCCAACCAAACACCAACACAUUGCAUAUAUCUAUGUUAAGCUGGACUAUAGUGCAUAAGGGCCAAUACAUGUCAUGUCUAGUGCAGGAAACUAAAAGUUUUCAUGUCUGCAAAAGCUUUUUCUCAUUUUUCCAUUGGUCAGCUGGAUUUCCUCAUACCGAGGAGGCUACAUCCAAUGAGGGUGUUGUUGCUGUCGACGAGGGAUGUUUUCAGCCACUUACAAAAACUUCGAUAUUACUUUGGGGUAAUAAAUUAUUUAUUAUCUUUCUAAAAAGCCUAUGCAAAUCUUUUGUGUGGAAAGUUUUGGGAAAUAAGUUUAUUUAAUUAAAAAGAAUUCAUUUUCAAUGUUUUUACAAAAAUCAUUUUGAAAAGUUUUUUCACAAUUCAUUAUAUAUUUUAUGGAAAUAUUCAUAAAAUAUUAUAGAAAAUAUUGCUUUUGAAUAUGACAUGAAAAGUUUAAAAUGAAAAUAUAUAAAUAUGCAUUGGAGAACAGUUUUUAGAAAAAGAAAGACCGGAAGAGGAAAAACAUAUAUAUAUUAGAAAAGACUGUUAUGUGCUGAAUUUGACGGCUGGCAAUUAGUGCUGAAAAAAUAUAGGACGUGCUCCUCUGGAAAGUGAGGCCCAUGAGGCGUAUCGAUCAAGCACCGUCCACUCUCACAUCAAAGGCCGAGGUGGCCUCGCCUCCUUCGACUAAACGCCUUGCGGAUAACGGGAGGGCGAGCGAGCGACGGGACGGCACCAAUGGCGAUGCGAGCAGCUCCGGCGGCGGCGACAGGCUUCUUCUCUCCAUCCUCCGUCUCUCCGAGGCGCUUCUCGUCCGCCACACCGCCGGCGUCACUCUCCACCGGGCGCUGCAUCCAGCGCCAUCGUCUCCGCGCCUUCCCAAGUACAGUGUUGCUAUCCCUCCGUUCCUUCCUUUUGGUGUUCCCAUUUCUCAAUGAACAAAUACCAUCCUCUCGCUCCAUUCCCUUUGCAGGUUCGGAAAUACCUCUAGAGGAACUCAACCCAUCCGUCGAUCUACUUGUAGGCUCCAUCCCUCUGCCUCACCGCUGUUUCUGUCAAUCUGUCAUCAAUUUAUCGCCCUGUUAUUUCUUGAAAUAAUCGUUAUCCUGCUUAUGGACGGACUUUGCAUGGUUUUCUUGGUUGCAAUCCCAAUGCAGAGGAAAACUGCGGAGGCCGUCGGCGAUUUCAGGAAAACGCCCAUCUAUAUUGUCGGUAUGCUUCUCAGCUUCGUUUGGAUUUUUUUUUUUGGAUCAAGUGUUAGCCACCACAAUCAAAUUUAGAUACAGUUUAAAUUUGGUAACACAACAAACUAACAUUACACUUAGCAACCCAAAGGUGUCUCCGAUGUGAUCUGCCUUGUCAUUAUAAUUUAUAAACAUUAUAAUGGGCAAGGUGCCUAAGUCCAAAUGUCAGGUCAUUAUGCAUCUAAACAGCACAAGAGAAAACAACUGUCAUUGGUGUGAGGACAUUGUUGAAUUCUAAGUCUCAGCAGUUUCUUCGACUACCACAAUUUACAGCAAAUGAAUAUCUUCACUGGACGAGACAGAAGACAAGUUGCCAAACUUUUUUCUAGUUGAGUGUCCAAUUCCUUCUGCUGUCAUGGUGUUCCCACAGUUCACGUUGAUCACCACUAGAACAGGGGUCUGUUGUUCUCUAGCUAAGUAAUUGCAGUCCCAGACUCAUCCUACAAUUUUCUGCCAAGUUAUUUGAGAUAAAUAUAGAUUACUGUGAGGGGAAGGGUCGUUUCUUCGUGGUUCCUACAGAGCUUGUAAAUUUGAUUAACAUUACAAUCCUUGACAGUAGCUUGUCCAUUGUGACCAUUUUGUUCUGCAGUAGGAGCCACAGUUGUUUUCGAACUUGCAUUUGUUUCAACCUAUGACAUCCAAAUCAGCAUCCAACCUUUUUUUGUUAGCCAACCAAACAAUUUUGCCUCAUAAGCUGAUUUCUGAUUAGUCCACGAGCAGAUGAGCUCCAGGAUGUCUUCUCCUCUUCAUGUGUUAAAUCUGUGCCUUGAAUAGGGGACAAAGGUUUAGCAAAAUGCUACAAUUGUUGACGGGAUGGCCCUUUUCAUCCAGGUCCUGUUCUGAAGAGCUCUGCUGCAAGCCUGCAACCUUCCAAGUUUUCCUCUAGGCCAAGGUGUACACUGCCUGUGCAAUUUCUUUCAAAGUAGCAUGUCCAGCCUGCUGUUCUAAAUCUGCUGCAAUCUUCAUGCUCAUGCAAGAAUUUAACCUGGGUGCCGUUAACUAGCAUGACAGCAGUACAAUUCCUUGUCCAUCAGUCUGCCUCGUCACGGAGUGUGUUCAUUCCGAUCCAUGCUAUUUUGUCCCUUCUGAGUUUACUAGAACCAUGACAUCUCACGCUAAUACUCUAAUGUUACUUGAUGAAAAAAAUAGGCCUGGUCCUGGCCAGCAAGAUGCAACUGACUGGAUUGUUCCUUCAUGCAUAGGCACGGAUUGCACAGCCAAGCGCAACAUCGCCAAGCUGCUUGCGAAUUCCAUAAUAUACCGCUACCUCUGCAGUGAGGAACUGCUUGAGGAUGUUCUUGGUGGGAAGGACGCCCUCAGAGCCUUCAAAGAAUCUGAUGAGAAGGGCUAUCUUGAAGUCGAGGUUCUUUCCUUCUUUCUCCUUUCCUCCCUCUAUUUUUUUUUACUAGUUUUCUUGCUCAAAAUGUUACUGCCCCUACAUUACCUUGCACUAAUUUUCCAUUCUUCUGUCUCACUGCUAGACCGAAGGGUUAAAGCAGCUCACGUCCAUGGGUAGCCUUGUGUUGUGCUGUGGUGAUGGCGCUGUCAUGAACUCAACCAAUCUGUAUGUAUGGAUGCAUCUCCAUUGUCUAUUGUUUUUGUCACACAUGUAAAGUUAUUAAUUAUAAGCAUACAUAUGCUGGUGUUUAUGAACCUCCAGGGGGCUACUGAGGCAUGGUGUCUCCAUUUGGAUUGAUGUUCCUCUUGAAAUGGCAGCAAAUGAUAUGCUGAAGAGUACGGGAACACAAGCUACUACGGAUCCAGACUCUUUUUCUCAGGUUAGCCUAAAUUUUGUUUGAUGCUCUCUAUGGAUGUGAUGACUGACUGAAAUUCAAGUGUUAUUUGUGAAACAUGGUGCCACAUCGUCUGGAUAGUUAUUAGCAUGUUUAUCUUUUAACUUGACCUUACUAUCUAUCUACAUGUGUAGGCGAUGAGCAAGCUCCGUCAGCGGUACGAUGAACUGAAAGAGCGCUAUGGAGUUUCUGAUAUUACUGUUUCAGUACAAAGUAAAGAUAGAUCCUCAAACCGCCUUUCAUUCCCUUUGAGUUACAGUUAGUAAAUGGUAAAUAUUUAGAAUCGGGUGAACUUUUUUUUCUGAGAUGCCUCAACACCUUUCAGGUGUCGCUUCUCAGCGUGGGUACAGCAGCGUUGACUCGGUGACACUUGAGGACAUGGUCCUUGAAGUAAGUCAGCAACAUUUUAUUUAUUUCCAGACCACAUAUGUCUUCAUUUUGGACAAUUAGGCACAGCACUUGUAACUGCUGAAUACAACUGAUUCUAACAUCGAGAAGCUGAUCGUGAAUUUGAUUUCCCAGAUCGUGAGGCAAAUCGAGAAGCUGAUCCGAGCAAAGGAGAUGAUGGAAGCUGCAGGGAGGCCCUUCUAAACUAGAUAGUAGAUACCAUGCUGCAUACACAAUAUUUAUGCUCCGGCAUACCAAUUGCCUGAACUCCAACGCUUCGCUGCUCAAGAAACUGAUUGCAAGCGUGUGAAGUCCAAGGAGCUGAAGGUCGUUGUUCCACUCGAACAUGCUUAUAUUGUAAUUGCAAGAUCAUUUGCCAUUUGAUAGUGCAAAUGCAUUACGUGUUCAUCUGCCAUGGCUGAAUUUACUGUCUAUUGGAAAUGGCAGUUUUGCCUGUAUACAUGGGCCCAGCAGCCAAAAUUUGGGAAUUUUGGUGAAAGGAAAAUUUCAGAAUGCAUUUAUAGUGACUAUGUUACAAUGCUAAGGUUUUCUACCUAAAAAUUUUUCAUCCAUCCCGUCGAGUCUUUGGACACAUGCAUGGAAUAUUAAAUGUAGACAGAAAAAAAACUAAUUGCACAGUUUGGUUGUAAAUCGUGAGACAAAUCUUUUAAACCUAAUUAGUCCAUGAUUAGCCAUAAAUGCUACAGUAAUCGACAUGUACUAAUGACAGAUUAAUUAGGUUUAAUAGAUUUAUCUUGUAAUUUCUAAACGAGCUAUGUAAUUUGUUUUUUUAUUGGUUUUCAAAAACUCCUCCGAUAUUCUUCUGACACAUUCGAUAUGACACCUAAAAUUUUCUUUUCGUGAACUAAACAGGACCUAAACGAACAGGAUGUGAGGUUUGAUCAAUUUUACAUCAGGGAUUUUAUGUGAUUUCGUCUUUUCAUGAGAGUCAGAGAUAACGAUGGACAAAACAAGGAAAAUGGUGGCUGAAACUGAAAGCCAAAGCAGCCUCUCCACGCAUUCACACGCGCGCUGACGAGGCGAGGCGGCUACAUGGUGGGACCCACGUGCAGCCUCACGAGCCGCGUCAAGCCCCCGGACCGGAUGUGCCUUUCGGCUCUAUUACCGGAGCGGAGAGCGAGGGAGCGAGACGAGAUCCAUUCGCAACUGCUGCUGCUGCGCCUCGACUCGUAGCCCGGAGAGGAACCCUAGCUAGCAAAGCCGGAGGCGGCAAGAGAGAGCAGCCAUGGCGCGGUGCCUCGCGCUCGUCGCCCUCCUCGUCCUCGGCCUCGCCGCCGCCCCCGCCGCCGCCGCCGCGGCCGACGCGCCCUUCGUCGUCGCGCACAAGAAGGUUUCGCUCUCCCGCCCCAAGCCGGGCGUCGAGCGCGUCGCCGUCUCCCUCGACCUCUACAACCAGGGAUCCGCGUGAGUACCGCUCACACCCCACCGCCGAUCCGGUUUGUUGCUUGUAGUAGUUUCGCUUACUCCUGGGAUCUGAUCUGACUCGGCAUGCCUUCCUUUCCUGGGAGAUUUGAACGCGCCUCCACUUGCUUGGAUCUGCAUCGUGCGGUGAGCGAGUGAUGCGAGGUUUACUUCUUAAACCUUAGCCGGGGAUUUAGUUGUCCAAUUUUUUCUAAUCGUAGGUCCGCUAAAUCUGAAUGAUAGAUUUGCUUAAUUGUGUAUAAGAAGUGAAGAAUUCAUAAUUUUCAACCUUCGCUUGCUCUUCUGCUUUUAUAGAUCCCCAAUUCUCCCUAUCCCUUGCUGGAAACGGGAGCAGAUCAUUAUUCCUGUGUGCUGCCCUCGCUCAUAAUUGACUGCGAGAUCAAGAGUGCUGGCCUUGCUCUUAAUUGACUGUUGUUAGAUCAAGAGUGCUGCACUUGUUUUUAAUUUACUGCUAGAUCAAGAUUUUUGUAUCCUCAAUUGCGAACUAAUCAAUGAUUCUCGUGCAUAUUGGGCCCAUGCUGAUGGUUAUCUAGCUAAACAACCAGUAAGGUCAACUUUUCAAUCACUCCAUCCAAAGUGCUAGUGCUAACUUGCGUGUAUGUAGUUUUGUCACAAAGAAAAUAUUCAUAGGGACCAGGACCACGUGGAAGAUUGCAUGGGCUAUUUUGUCUGCUACAUCUUACUCGAAUUUUUGUUUUGUCAUCAUGCAGAUGGUUAAUGAUAUCUUUAUUUGUAAUGUGUUUUUGCAUAAAAAAAGAGCUUUGCAAUUUAUUUCAUGCAGAAAUUGAUGCAUUGUCGGUUUCCCAAGGAGUUCACUCUUUGGUCUGCACUUGCAAAAGGAAAUGCACUUUCUAUUUAUUCGCAGAACUGUGUGUCAAGUUUGCUUUGGGUUUAAGGCAAUUGGUACUGUUGCAGUUGCAUGCAUUCUAUUUUUACAAGUCAUUUGUAUGGGACAACACAAUUUGUGUUGCUUUGCUUACCCUAAGAUAUCUUGCUUGUUCAGAUAUAUAUGCUGUAGUGUCACAUUCUUAUAGUAUAUUUCUGGCUAGAUCUGGAAGCCAAACAACAUUAAGUCGCCUAAUAAAGUGACCUGGAAUUUUUACUAUAUGUCUAUGCACAGUGGAUUUACUCCCUUUGUGCUACAACAAUUGUUGGUAUCACCAUGUGCUACUGCUUUCUCUUGUAUCACACUUCCAGUAAUACUUGAUGUGCUCGAAUUUGGUAUUUUUCUUGAUUUUGAGUCAUUGCAUGAUGUAUAUGUGUUCCUUUCUGUUUCAUAUGAUGGCAAAUCAAUCACAUAUGUUCUUAUACCAUCUGCAUGGACUUAUUGUAAAAUCUAUUGCAGGACUGCCUAUGACGUCUCCAUUAAUGAUGACUCUUGGCCAACAGAAGCGUUUGAGCUUGUCACUGGAGAGAAAUCGAAGACAUUAGAAAGGCUUGACCCGUGAGUACAUUUUGUAAUGCAUAUCUCUGCUUUACGUGUUCAUGUACAUCACUACAGAAAAUGAUUUCAUUACUUUGACUCUUUCAGUGGUGCCACUGCUUCACACACAUUUGUCCUCGAGACCAAGACACAGGGCAGGUUCCAGGGUUCACCAGCUAUUAUUACAUACCGUGUUCCCACAAAGACAGCUCUUCAGGUUUUCCCCCCUUUUGCCUCUACUGUAUAUAAUUCAGUAGUGUUUCUUAUGUUAUGCAUCUUGUAUUGUCUUCUUAUUUUCUACAUCGCUAUUGCUUGACCCGCGGUAUUUAGCUAAAUCAAUGUUUUGUAUAUGUUGAAGGAGGCCUACUCAACUCCCAUCUUCCCACUGGAUAUUCUUGCUGAGAGACCUCCAGAGAAGAAGUUUGAAUGGGUAAGUAAACAUGCCAUUGCAUGCACAUCCUAGUUCAUGUUUCUUUCUGAUACUGAUGUUUGGGUGCUAUUUCUGGUGCUUCCUCUGCAUGGAAAUCCGAAUAUGCGCUCAUACUAUGUUCAGGCUAAGGUAUUUCUUUCUUUCCUUCUACUUUUGUCAAUUUUCCUAGUUCAUCUAAACAUGCUGCUCUGGUAGAUUUUAUCAUUCAUUUGACUAUUUGAGUUGCACGCUAACAAAAAAAAUGUUAUCCACGUGCAGAGGCUUGUGGCGAAAUACGGGUCACUUGUGUCUGUUGUCUCGUUUGUUGGACUGUUUAUCUACCUCGUCGCGAGCCCAUCAAAGAGCGGCUCAAAAGCAAGCAAGAAGAGACGCUGAUCUACUUAUAGGUUGCAGUUGACGGUGUAGCUGGUGGUUUUGCCUGGAGGAACUCUUGGUAGUUUGAGCUGAGCGAAAGCUUUUCAAGUUUACAUUUACUCACCACACCAUGAAUUGCAACGAAGUGAGCAUCAAUUAGAAAACAGGACCUGUAAUUUUGGUUGGUUAUUUUCUGUUUCUGUCAGAGACCUAACUCGGAGGACCUGUAACUAGGAAAGUUGCUUUUGCUUGAAAGAACAUUUGAUAUAUGAUUGUUGUUUCUGGCCUUGUUUAGUUCACCCUAAAAUCCAAAAAGUUUUUAAGAUUCUCUGUCACAUCGAAGCUUGCGGUACAUGCAUGAAGCAUUAAAUAUAGACGAAAACAAAAAUUAAUCACACAGUUUGACUGUAAAUCACGAGAUGAAUUUUUUGAGCCUAGUUAUUCUAUGAUUGGAUAAUAUUUAUCAAAUAAAAACAAAAAUGCUACAUAUUUCGGAACUAAACAAGGCCUCUGUGCUUCGUGCUUGGGUGUGUGAAUUUGAGAGCAACCGUUUGGUAGGACGUUUUCAGCUGACAAUGGUCAUGACUCAUGACAUAGCAACUUCUGGUGAUCUGAACCUUGCAUGUUGAAGAUCACAUCGAACUGCUUGUCUCUUUCGGCUUCAUGGUGAGUUUGUUCAUUUGUCUAAAAAGUUAUGGUUGAAAGUAUUGUUUGUUGAUUUGUUGUGAGAGAAAAACGCUGCUGAAUGACUGGUAGAUUCGUUAGAUAAGUUCCAACGAAUAGGGCCGGUGUGGUGUAGAAUGAGGUUCAGGGCAGGGCACCGGAGUUUCUAAUGAAUCAUUAGUCAAGAAGCUCCUCCUAUCUCAUGGCUGUCAUUUCGACAUCUAGAAUUCUACAUUUUUACAUCACCUAUUCAAAGCAUCGUCUCUGUCAAAUCUGCCGCGCACUGAUAAAUUUCAUUCCCUGCGAAGAUUAAUCAAGAUUCAAGAGGAAAAGAAAUAUGUUCUGAAAUAUCUGGUGUUUUAUUGUUUCAGAGAAAAAUAAUUGAUGUUUUUAACUUUUAUCAUUGAUACUUUGACAAAAUUUGUUUCAAUAUUUAGUUAAGUAAAUAAAGUGAGAAAUGCAUCGUUGGAUUCUCAUUAUCAAAAUUACUUUAAAUGUGUCAUAUAUUGUUGGUUAUUUGUACAAAUAUUCACAUAGAGUGGUCAAACAUUAGACACUAAUGUCAAAAUUGCCAUGAAAGGAGUUUGGUAGUUAAGAGUAGAAAGCUUAGAAAACAAUACCUAAUAAAAAUGCUUGGAUGAGUAAACCUAGCCCAAAUUUGCACAAAAGCUUUAGGAAUGCUCAUCCGUAUUGUUGACUCCACUAAUCAGCGAGCAUCUUAGGAUUAGAAUCAACAAACAAUGACACAUCAUCCAUGACUUUCCUUUUUUAGGGUUUUUUUGGCAAUAACAUUUUUUUGGAAAUUUUGUUUAGAUAACUUCUCUCUUUUUUGAAAAAAUAUAUAACUUUUCUAUAAGACUUUUGUGCAUGACGUUUGUGGCGUAAGCUUAUGCUUAUAUUUACCAUGAUAUCUUCCGAAGAAUGUAAGAUAUUAUGUUAUGCACACAUGUUUAUGCAUAAUAAGAUUUGUGGAUAAAACAAUGAUUACAUAUACAUUAGCAUGCAAUGAAACAUCUUUAAAACAAAAUUAUGCACACAAUAUUUGUGAAAUAAAAACAUAAUAUUUAUGAAUAAAAUUAUGCACAAGAUGGUGAAACAAAUACAAGGUUCAUAAACAAAAUUAUGCACAAGACUCGUGAAACAAAAUUGUGCCACAAGAUUUGUGAGUAAAAACUACACAUAAAAACAGGAAAAAUAUAUGCACAUGAGAUUUUUUAACAUAAUAAGAUUCAAUUCAGCUAGAUCGGAAGAGGAUAUAAAAUUUAAAAUAACAAAAAAAAGUAGAAAAAAAGAGAAGGAAAAAAAAAAGAGCAAGCACGGCAAUUUGAAUGUGAUGAAAGGAGAACGGGAUGUCAGCCGUGCUGAGAUGGGCCGGGCGUUCGGGGGCGAAUGGUCGCCGAACUGAAUUCGGGCUGUUUUGCUCACUUCCAGAGCCCAAUUUCACUCAGAUGGCCCAUCAGAACCAGCCCACUCCUCCUCCCGCAACAUCUCUCACACUGACACGUCGGUCCCACCACUAAUCGGACGGUCCAAACCAGCCGUGAACCCCAUCUCCACCGUCCGCCCUAGGGUAACCCUCCCAGUUUCCCGACCGCGCACUAUAUAAACCUCUCUCUUCUCCCUCGUCCAACCCUAGCCGCAGCGCGCUCAUUUCCGCGUUCCCCCUCCCGCCUCGCCGCGCCGCCGCCGCCACCGCCGGAGAAGAUGGGUCGCGUGAUCCGCGCGCAGCGUAAGGGUGCGGGGUCCGUCUUCAAGUCCCACACCCACCACCGCAAGGGCCCCGCCCGGUUCCGCUCCCUCGACUUCGGCGAGCGCAACGGGUACCUCAAGGGCGUCGUCACCGACGUCAUCCACGACCCGGGCCGCGGCGCGCCGCUCGCCAAGGUCACCUUCCGCCACCCCUUCAGGUACAAGCACCAGAAGGAGCUCUUCGUCGCCGCCGAGGGCAUGUACACGGGCCAGUUCGUCUACUGCGGCCGCCGCGCCACGCUCUCCAUCGGCAACGUCCUGCCGCUCCGCGGGAUCCCCGAGGGUGCCGUCGUCUGCAACGUCGAGCACCACGUCGGUGACCGUGGUGUCUUCGCCAGGGCCUCUGGGGACUACGCCAUCGUGAUCAGCCACAACCCUGACAACGGCACCUCGAGGUCUGAAUACGAUCACCGCCCCCUCCUUUCUCUGUUUCAUUCAUUUGUAUGAUUAGAUUUUCAUUUAUUCGUAUGAUGAGAUCUGAUGUAGUCGUGCGAGUAAUUGCAUCACUGAAUCUGAUAUGUUAUGGAUCCUUUGUAGCAUUAUUCAAAAAUGAUUUGGCUCUAUUUUUGUGGUUUGCUUAUGCGCACAAGAUUUAGUUUUCUAUAAUAAUAAAAUGGUCCGAUUUAUGGAUUAUUAUGGUACAUAUCAUCUGCCUGUUGUUAUUUUUGUUGUAACGUGAUUCAGUUUUACUUUGUAAAAGGUCUAGUUGACUUAUGGCCUUGUAUUGAGGUAGAUUUUAGUUUGACUGUAGCCAUUUGUAGCUGAUUGGUUCUUUGAUUGCAAUGUGCUGCAGAUAAUCAAAUAAACACCUUAGGUUGGUAGGUUCUGCAAUGGCUACAUUGUAUAUUUUGUGAUUAUAAUUGUUCUACUUUACGCAUCUCCAAUACAUAUGCUGAUGACAUUGUAAGCUGUUUCGCAUCUUGUUAUGUCAGCCUUAAAAUUAUAUUUUACUGCUGAAGAUAAUUUCAGUUGCAGUGUUUUUACCCUGUAGAUAUCCUAAUCUGGCCUGCCUACUCUAAUGUCUUGUUGAUGUCCUAAUCUAGUUGCCUACUAGAAUGUCUUUUGCUUUGUCAGUGUAGUCAAGUGAUUUUCUGAUAUUUGUCUGCAUACUUAAUUACACAGCAAGAUAGGCUAAUUCUGCUCUUUUCUUACAGGAUUAAGCUACCCUCUGGUGCCAAGAAGAUUGUCCCCAGCAGCUGCCGUGCCAUGAUUGGGCAGGUCGCUGGUGGAGGCAGGACUGAGAAGCCGAUGCUGAAGGCUGGUAACGCGUACCACAAGUACCGUGUGAAGAGGAACUGCUGGCCUAAGGUGCGUGGUGUGGCCAUGAACCCUGUGGAGCAUCCCCACGGAGGAGGUAACCACCAGCACAUUGGUCACGCCUCCACCGUCCGCCGUGACGCUCCCCCUGGCCAGAAGGUCGGUCUCAUUGCUGCCAGGAGGACUGGAAGGCUCAGGGGACAGGCUGCUGCCACUGCCGCCAAGGCUGACAAGGCCACCUAGAGUUGUUAUCGUCGUUCUUGUUUAUCUAUCUCUCUGC
rnacentral:lncRNA from 1 species